rnacentral:lncRNA from 1 species
UUCAAAAACUGUUUUAAAAUUUACACAGGGUAAUUGGCAAAACAUUAUUUUGUCUCAACAAUGAGACAAUUAGGAUUAACAACAAAUAUCUAUAGGUUUAUCAGAUUAAUGUGUUGAGCAAGAGCAGUGGCAAAAAUAUCUACCAUUAUCCACUACUUGAUCUUAAAAGUCUUAACACAAACCUUACUUCCGUUAGAACAUCAACAUCAAAACUUAAAGUUGAUAAAAGAUUGGACCUCACAACAAGGUUAUCGGUAUUCCUAGAAAGAACUGUCUACAUUACCCUGUCGAUAUUACAAUGCAUGUCUGAAAUAGUAGGGAAAAUAAAUAUAAUAAAAAAAAAGAUUGAACAACCUGCAGUACUUCAAGAGAAAUGGCUAAGAGAAUGGAUUGAAAUUUAAUUUUAGCACAGAUUGCAAUCCACACAAGACACUAUAAUUAGGUCACUACAAAGUUUGAGGACCAGGACUAUCAAUUCAGGACAUCCAUCAUAAGAUGGUUUAAACCACCUAAUCAAGGAUAUCCAGCUGAUUAAGUCCUAAAUACGAUGGAUCACUAACAUUAAGGAUUAAGCUCAUUUGUAUAUAUUUGCACUUCUACUAUUUCCUAAAAUAUAUGAUGCAUAAGGGGUGGCAUGUGCCCUUCUUAUGAUCUCUUUGUAUAGCAUGCUCUGCAGUCAGGCAUUAGAAAACUAACAAGAAUAAUAACAAAUAGCAGUAUUAGUUGCUCACCCUCAAGAUUAUCAGCGAGCCACUUGGAGUUUUUGGGACUGAUAUGACUAUCCCACCACCAGGAAUGUGAUUUCUUAGAUUCUGUCCUCUUCAGAUUCUUUUGUGACUUAACCUGAAAUAAAAACAAAUAAAAACCACAAUAUCAUACCAGACCUACAAAAUAGCCAACAUGCAUUCAGAUGUUCUUAUUGUGAAAAAAAUUAGGGGCAAGGGAAGCUUUCCAGGGUGUAGUUCAGCAGUAGUGAGACCUUUAACAAUGAUCUGCCCAUUAUUUAAGUGGGAAGCCUUCCAGGGUGUAGUUCAGUGGUAGUGAGACCUCUAACAAUGAUCUCACCAGUAUUUAAGUGGUGCGGAUGGGUGCAUAUCACCCAGGGGGGAUUUGCCUCGCAGGCACUUGGAAUAAAUGCCUCCCUGUUGGGGUGCAUUCUCUGUUCUAAAAUUUAAUAUAACCACAGCCAUAGAGUAAUCAGCAAAUUGUUACCAUCUAAGGUUUAGGAUUUAAGGAUUAGGGUUGUAAGAGAGAAGAAGAUUGCUAGUCAUAUCCUCAUUCACUGUGGGAAAGCAAGAGGACUGUGGCAUCUUUUGUUUUCAUCUUUUGGUAUCUCUAGGAUUCUCCUCAAUUUAGUGAGAAAGGCUCUUUUGUGCUGGCAUGAGAGUUCUUUGGGAAGAGAAGGAAAGUUUGGUGUUAGUUUUGGACCAUAUGGUGGGAAUGUAAUCAUAGAUCCUUUGAUGGUGUGAAGCAUUUGGAUCAGCCACUCAAAACACUCCCUCAAUUAUGCCCUCUUUCAAUUGUCCCUUGACUCCCAUCAGCCUCAACAUGAUAAUCCUUGAUCCUUGUUAGACUUCAUUGACUGGCUGGGCUUCAGGUAGUGUUUUGUUGAUCGUCAAUGCUGUUUUUGUUUCCUUUUGCAGCCCUUUGAAUACCCUGUGUACUUGGGGUGCACCAUUUCCUUCCAUUAGGCGCUUUUAUCAAUAUUGUUCUUACAUGUGCAUCAAAAGAAGUGGUUAAUUUCCCUUUUCCUUCCCCUCUUUCCUUGUUGAAAAGAAAACAAAGCAUAAAGUGAAGGAUGGGUGGAGCAUAAUGUAUUCUUGCUGCAUUAUUGCCACAUGAUGACUGUUCAUGUACUUGUCCUCUAUUGUGAACUUUCCAGGAUAUAGCAACACACAUUCUAUUCAACUAAUAGGUUACACAAAUCCCUGUUUGUUGAUUUAUUGGAUUUCAUACUCUACAUUCAAAUUGUCAAAUCCCAUGGAUUAUUUUCAUUUGUUGGGAUAGUGAAUUCUUGGAUGACCACAAAUUUAUUUGCUCUAUUUAUUUAUAAUUCUAAAUAUACAUACUUUCCCAUGUAAUAAUAGUUUUAGGAUGAGAGCACAAAUCCAAAGAAGCAUUAUCAAAGGUUCAUCCAAAUUGAAUGAGUAACCAAAAUAAUACUUAUGAAAUAUAUGUUGUUUUGCUUUCUUAAUUACAGUCAAGGUAAACAAUUUAAAGUGAGAAAGUGUAUACUAUAAAAAUUUAUGGAAAAUACUUGAGGGAGAUGCAUAAAUAAUUGUAGAAGAAAUGGAAACAAGAGACAGAAGGAGCAUACACAUCCAUAUAUCCCAAUUAGUUCCUUUUCUUACCAAGGAAGAAGCCAUGCUGCUAAGUUGGUGAAGUUUGAGAGUUGAUUUAGAGGGCUGGAUCCAAUAGACUCUCAGAGCUUUAUUUUGCAAUGUAUCUGCAGCUAGGCUUCAAUAACAAUACUCAAUCAGAGGCUAAUAUGCAACAUCAGAACAUCUAUAUUGAGAUUAUAAGUUUAAACUGGAAAAUGAUUUCAAAUGGAAGGUUCAUAAAUGAUGGCCACAUAAUUCAGAAUGGGCUUGUAUAACAUAACUUUUUCAUCUUUGAUGUGCUAGGAAGAACCUAACCCUAAAUGAUUAUUUCAUACUUAACUGAACUACAGAACUUUAAUUUCAGUUUAAGCACAAUGCACGUGAGUUCACAAUUACUAUUCCCACAAACUAUAUGAAAAGCCUGGCAUGGUACCAUCUAGCAUCCUACUAUUUUCAGAACUGUCAAUCUACAAUAAAAAAGAGUGAUUAAAAAUCAUCAAAGAAAGGCCUGAACAAGAAGUUUAAUAUUAUCGAAUCAUCAACUUAUUAUAAGUUAUUGAAAAAAAAUAAACAUUAUAAACAAAAACUGAAAUUGAUAAUAAAACCAUCAUGAAAAAGAAUGGAAAACUUAGAACAACGAGUCGGUUCCAGAGGCAAAACUUACAUUGAUACUUUUGUUGAUAGCAGAUUGAAAAAUGUAAAUCCAAGCUUCUCAGUUUAUAUCGACAAGGGGCUGAUAUCCGUUGAAGAAAGUGGCUGGAUCCUUUUGGAUUGGCGUCAGAAUUAAGUCAAUAACUACAGGUCGCCCAACCAACAACAGAAAGGUGUUAAAAAAAAGGGGGAAAAGAAAUAGGCAAGAAAAAACCACCAACAUGGAGCGUGACCCCACGCGCACAGAAAGCGCGCGGACUUGGCAUUUCUCUGGGGAUUAAUUUCUGCCUGAACCUUGAAAUUAAGACAACUGUCCAGGCGAGAGCUCCAGCUAUAUACACGCGUUUCAAGCACAAAACACCGACCCAAAAAUAAAAAUAAAAGUCAUAUAAAUUCUUGGACACAUGUAGAGAAACCAGAAAAUUGAUGGUAAAAGUGGAUAGAAAAAGAAUCUGUGAGUCUCUUCACCAUUAUACCUUACAAGAAUUGCUUUUGACUCCAGGUUCAAUUUGCAGACAGCGAUUGCGAAUCGCGGAAAAAUAAUCGAUUUCCAACUAAAACAUUCCAAAAAAAAAAAAAACCCAAUGGAGGGGACAUGUAGAACUAAGAAACCAGAAAAAUGAUGGUAAAACCGGUUAAAAAAAAGACUCAACAGUAGUAACAAGAUCAUUCCUGGCAAAAAUUGCUUUAAAUUUAAGUUCAAUUUGCAUAGAACUCGGUUGCGAAUCGUGAAAAACUAUUCGAUUUCCUACUAAAACAUUUCUAAAAAAAAAACAAUUAUUGGAGGACAUAAAAGAAGUAAGAAAAGGGAAAAAUGAUGGUAAAACCGAUUGGAAAAAGAGUCAACAGUCUCCACAAGAUCAUUCCUUGCAAAAACUGCUUUAAAUUUAAGUUAUUUCAGAAGCCUCGAUCGCGAAUCACGGAAAACUAUUCGAUUUUCCACUAAAACAUUCCUUAAAAAAAAGAAGUAAAAAUUCAAUGAUCUGUACUCCGCGAUCCUCCUCCGCACCAAACUUGAACAAAUAUCCAACGAAUAGGAUAAAAUGACGCACAUGACUAAAAUCCGAAGCAGAAAAACAAUCACAUUAUCAGAUUGGAUAUGAAAAUCGAAAAAUCGAAGAGCGUACCUUGAGCUGCCGCAAGAGCUUCAACAACAGCGAGUGUGUGGAGAUGAGAUGGAGAGAAAGGAAGAGGAAAUGGAGGUGGGAAAGAUGAAGUCUGAAUCCGAGUACUGAAGAAUGAAGUCAAAGACUUCCUUGCCUAUUUAUAGAUAAAAGAAACAAACAAAAGUGAGUGACCCCUCACUCUUCUUCUCCCUUUGGCCCUUUUCUCGUGAGUCGUGAAUCAGCUUCGGACCUCUCCUUCUCAACCCCUUUGCAACUUUACCUACUCAAAGGACCGUUUUGCCCUCGAUCCAUACUCUUAUUUCCCAAAAUACCUAAUAUUUCUUUGUUUUAUAAAUGACAAGGUAAAAGCGGGUUGUUUUUAAAAAGCAUAUUUUUGGGGGAAAAUCUUCGUUUAUCGCCUAAGUUUGUAUGCUUUUAUUUUUGAAAACAAAAACCAUUGCAGGCUGCCAAUUCUUACAAGAUCUUUCAAUCUAUUAAGUACUAUCAACUUCAAGCAAUCCCACAUGUAUGGGAAAAUUAAGAGGAUAUAUGGUACAUAAAGUGUCUAACAAGGAGGGUAUGAUCUAAGUCACAAAAAGCACUCAAGUUCCAUCAAAGUUAAUAAUAAAUAAAUAAAUAAAUAAAAUCUAUAUGCUAGGCAUAGUGGAUGAAACCAACCCUGAAGGAAAUAAUAGUAAAAGAAGAAAACUCACAUCUCUUAAACAUUUGACCAACUUUAAUUGUAUGGGAAGAAACCAAGCCACCUCAAAUAGAGGGGAACUAAACUUCAUAAAUCAAAAGACCAAUGAAAUUGGAUUUUUUGGUUAUCUCUCGAUUCUUCUUUUUCUUUGCACAAACAACAAUGGGUAAGGUUCACACAUGGUUUAUAAGAUGCUCUAAUAUAUGUUGAAGAGAAUAAAAAAUUGGAUAUAAUUUUUUUUUUUAUUAAUCUUAGGGAUUACAUGAAUAUUAUAUACACUUAAUUAAAACAAAAACAGAAAAUAAUUUGUCAAAGUUGCAUAUUCCUAAAUCCUAUUAAAGAAGCCUAAUCCAUGCUUUCCUAAACAAAUUUUGCUAUGGUUGAGCAACAAGGAACUACCUAGGAUCGAUAAACUUAGUACCCAAGGUUCACAAAUGAACUACCCUAAGCUCCAUUAAGGUAAUGCAUAAGGUUCACAAAGAUAGUACGUAAGGUGCAUUAAGGUAGUACCUAAGGUGCAUUAAGCCUUAGGUACACUAACGUAGUACCUUAGGUACAUUAAGGUAGAAUCUAAGAUACAAUAAGGUAGUACCUAAGAUGCAUUAAAGUAGUGCUUAAAGUGCAUUAAGGUAGUACUUAAGGUAAAUUAAGGUGAUACUUAAGGGCUAUUAAAGUAGUACAUAAGGUACAGUCUGCAAAAAAACAAAGGUGAAUCAAUUGAACACACAAAAUAAUCACAUAAUGACAUGCUCUAAGAGUCAUAAAGGAAGGUCCGAGGCUUCGAAUAGGUAAUAUCCAACUUUAACUAAGGUAGUACCUAAGGUCGGUUAAGGUAGUAUCUAAAGUAGAUUAAGGUGGUACCUAAAAGCUAUUAAGGUAAUACCUAAGAUACAGUUCGCAAAAAACCAAAGGUGAACCAAUUGAACAUACAAAAUAAUCACAUAAUGACAUGCUCUAAGGGUUAUAAAGGAAGGUCCGAGACUUUGGAUAUGUAGUACUCAACUUUAACUAAGGUAGUACCUAAGGUCGAUUAAGGUAGUACCUAAGGUAGAUUAAGGUGAUACCUAAGGUAGUACCUAAGAUACAAUACCCAAAAUAAUAAUGCAACUUACUACCAGAUAUGCUAUAAGUUCCAUUUGGAUUCAAUAUGACUUAUGGGUCAUAUGGUUAUUUGGGAAUAAUAUGGUUCCCACAACCCAACACAAAAGUUCAAGUCCACCAAUGACUCCAAAAUCAUUGAUGUGCUCCAUUUCAAAGAAAUGAACUAAAGAACAAUAAAUGAAAAUUAUUUACCAUCAUAUUUUGGUUUGGGGUUACGGAAAAAUGCAACUCAGUGACAGGAAGAGAUAUCUUGUUCACGAAGCCAAUAUUUUGGAUUCCACCUUUCCCAUUUCGGUACGCAUUGUUAUGGUAAAUUCAUAAUCACAGAUGUGCUUCUUGAAGUCGUCUUUUAACAACGUUUUUAGAAUGGAAUGUUCCAUUUCAUUGCACUUUUAUGUGGAUAAGAGAGAAACAUGCAGAUUGGAGUUUUGGAUUAAUGGUUUUUUCUCUCAAAUAAGACAAUUUUUAGGAAUUUUUAGAUGGGUCUCGAGAUCGUGUGGGUGAUGAAACCAAGAGAGACAGAGAAAUGCUCCCAAAUCAGAGAGAAGAAAAGUUUCAAAUUAGGGAAAUUACAACUGGUUGUUAGGUUGAGUGAUUUUUCAUAGGUUUUAAAUUCAGAUUUUUUUGUCUUAUUAAUUUUCAGUCUCUCAUGUGACAUGGAAGGCUUCCUGCUGAUAUGGAGAUAGGGUUGCAACUGACGUGGAGGUAUGAAUAGGCAAUCUAGGAACAUAAAAUGGAGUCAACAAAGAGUGCAUGAGAAAUAUAAUAUUUUCCCCUUGUCAAAUCUCGUAUUUCAGUUGAUUGGAGUUUGAUUGUCAUAUUACUUUCAAAUAGUCGGUCGCAAACACAACUUUUCCAUCUUUCAAUCUAUUUAUAUCUGAAAAAAUCCAAGUAAAAUUAUUGUUGGUCGUGAUCAUAACAUCAAAUAUUCUAUAGAUAAAUAAUAAUAAAUGAGGAAUAUAUGGCUAUAUAUUUGGAUAAAACUCAUAAAUGAGUCUUGAAAGCAUAAAAUUUAGUCCUAAAAGCCAAAAAGAAAAAAGAAAAAAGAAAAGAAAAAUCAGAUUAGAAAAACAAAUGAGAAGCUAAGCUUAAUUUAUUGCUGUAAUUGUGGCAUUUAAAGCAGCCCAACCGCCUUCCUUGUGGGAUGUAGCCAAACAAAAAAAUCCCAUUAGGCAAAAUGCAUCACUACCAUUUCACAUUAUUACACAACCAACUUCACCAUCCACGUGGAUAUAUAGGGGCUGUGUUUGGCCGCAUUUUCAAUAUGUUAGCCAAUCUUUAAGGAGUAUGGUCAAUAGUAUAUAUUAAAUUUAUAUGAAUUUAUUAGAAGCUUCUCAAUAUGAUUAUAUUGGUUUAGAUUAUUUUAAAUGUUGUUGAGAAAAAUAUAUAUUUAUUAAUUUAUUUGAGUUAUAAUUUUCUCGUACCAUGUCUCUCCUGCAACAUUGUUUGGAUUCGCAUAUUAACAUAAUAAGAAACAUAUGAAAGUGAUUUGAUACUAUGUUGAUCCAAAGCUUUAAGGUGAUGUUUAUUUUUUUGGUUUUUUGCUGAAAAUAAUUUGUUUUCAGAAUUUAAGUUAUUUGUUUUUUUACUUUUUUUUUCAUAAUUUAUUAUAAAUUUUUCAUUAAAUAGAAAAAACCAAAAUAUAUAGUUUUUUUUUAAAUAGAAAAAAUAACAUAUUGUUUUUUCUUUACUUUUUAAUACUUAAUAGAAAUGAAAUACUACAAAAACAAACAAUAUAAUAUUUAACACUAUUAAACGUUAAGGUUCUAUUUAAAAUUAAAUAAAAAAAUAAACACUACCUAAAUUGUUAGGAAGAUGCAAUCAUAUAUAUUAAAUUUAUAUGAACGUAACACCCUAUCUUUCACUCAUGUGGCUCAAUAAUAACUAUAGUUGUGUUUACAUAAAUGUCAACAAAUUGUAUCAAAGUAGUUGUUCAAGAUUUGGAUUAUGUAUUAGAAAAAAAAAAAAUCAUUAUCAUAAAAAUUAAAACCAGCCAUGUAAGGAUAUUGAUUCAUUUUUUUUGACGUAGUAUUAUGAUUUUCCUUUGUUCAUAUUCCUACUCUUGUUAUUAUUUCCGCAUAUUAAACAUAUCCUUAAGUUAUGUUUAGAAUAUUAGAAUAGAGAAUAAGAAUAGCAUGUCAAUUCCAUUUACCAUUCAUUAAUUGUUUGAAUUGUUUUCUAGAAUGAGAAUGAGAACAAAAAUGAAAAUUUAAAAUAUCACUCUUGAUAUGAUUUCAAUUUCCUCUUCCAUGAUUCAUUUUCAAGUUUAUUCCAAUAUACCAAACACACCCUUAAACCUAUAAACUAACAAGGGAACCAAAGGGGAGAAUAAAUCAGGCAAAUCAGGGGCUUGGGCCUAGUAAUCCACACUUGAUGAUACAUGAAGCUCAAGCCAGCUAGCAAAUGCCCAAAACUCAAAAUCAUGAUUAUGCAUUAAAGUUGCUUCCAAACAUGCCAUCUACCAAUAAUUAAGCCCUUUAAGAAACAAUAGAAUGAGAACACACCCAGAAAAGGAAUAGCCCAUCCUUCUGCAAAACCUCCAUAUAUUAAACAUCUUUCCACAAAGACAGCCAUGAUGGGGGGCCACCAGAGUCCAUAACCUCCUAUAAUGGAGUGUAGACACAGCUCACCAAAGACUGCAAUCAUGUUCCAGUUCUUGAAAGCAGCAUUAUACCAAAUCACGUCCAGGUGAUUCAUGUCUCUCAAGUGUAAGGCCCCAUCCACCAGUGGGCACAUCAUGUUGAGCUUAUUGCAUGAAUGGCCUGGCCUUUGGUUCCAAAAGUUUUUAUCUCCAAGUGGUAGUUCUGAGUCUAAUUGAAAAGGGAUAGGUGUUUGAAUAUGAAACUAGAGGGAAAAGGAAUUAAUGCUUGUUAAUUGAGGUAGGAUGUAUAGCAACUGUCAUUCAGUUAAAAAAUUAAAUGAUAAUCUAAUUAUAAACUCAAUAAUUAAGUAAAGAUAAACAAGAAAGAAAGAGUUGAAGGAGUGGAGGUGUAAGAAGUUGGAAUGGCUCUGGUGCUGAUCCACCUGGUCCUAAUACAAUUCUCACAUGGGGGUGACUGCAAUCUGACAUGUCUCAUAAUGGAAAGGUAGCUUACUACUCUCUAUCUGAAGCCAGCAUAUGCAUAUUCACUCACAGGUGACACUAAUGAGAUGGUAGAGCAGCAGGAUGAUUGUGUCACCAUCUGAGUUGUUUGUUUGGGAGAGUGAUCGAAGUCCCUUUUUCCUCGGCUCUUGUUAUGCUCGUGGGCUUUCUAGCUAACGCUGCAGCUGAAUAUUGAAAGAUAAAGAUAAAUAGAUAAGUAGAAGAACAAGUGAGCACUGUUGUCCUUCAUCUGACCAGCUCCCAUAGUAAAAUAAUGAAGUAGGUAGUUUACAGGUCAGAACGAGUAAACUAUAUUAAUCGUCUUGAAGAAACGAACUUCCAACUUCCGUUGUAGUCUAGUUGGUUAGGAUACUCGGCUCUCACCCGAGAGACCCGGGUUCAAGUCCCGGCAACGGAACAUAUUUUUCCCUGGACAUUUGUUUGAUUGAAAGAAUGCAUGAAUAAACCAAACAUGUUUCACCACAAAUGUUCCUUCUAUACUACUUUUUACAUUCAUUUUUAGUUGCACAUUUGCUUGGUUCAAAGAAUGCGUGAAUUGGCAGGGUAUCAUGAAAUUUGUAACAUAGUAUAAACCACUUAUCAACCGUGCCUUAUGCAUAGAGAACAAUACUAGCAAUGCCACAGAUGUUUCCAGGGGAGUAGUAUGGAAGGUCAUGUGUCAAAUUCCACUGGAAGAACAAGAGGAGGUUGUAACUUUAAUUCUUUCGAGUCCAAUUAAUAGAGAAUCAAUCCCUUCAAAUACGAUUAAUAAGAAAGCUUGGGCACUGGAAAAAAUCAUGGAAGAUGGUCCAAAGGGCUGCCUCCAAUUUAAUUGGAACACAAACAACACCCAAUAGAUCCAAGGAUGAGGCAGCGGAAAAAGAAUUGGCUUCGACUGUGGCGAUGCACUUAUUAACAUAUAUAAUUCUCACACACACCCACACCAUGAAUUCCACAAUGUAAAAUGGGUGUCAGAUCAUAUAACGAAGCAAAUAUAAAGCCUGCUCAAAGUAAACAUUCACACCUUCUACAUCAUCCAUAUCCAUAUACCCCACGACUAAAAGGAUUUUAUAGCAUAUUCAACUUCCAGUCAAAAUCGGCUUCAACCGGCCAUAGCCAUAGAGGUGUGUGAUAAACAUAAAACCAUACAUGAAGGGGUCUCAAAAGUCUUCUCAUCAACUCCAAAAAUGGUGAAAGGAUAACUGCCCAAAUCAUGUUCCAGUAUUCCGCCGACCAACACGAGCCACAAAACCAGCCUUGAUUGGAGCAACUGAUCGCCCAGAGCCGCACUGCAUGCAUGCACAUACAAAUCAAACAAUAAGAUGCCUUAUCUUAGAAAUUGAAAACAGCAUAUGAUCUCUUAAGCCCUAAAAAUGGCCCAACCAUGACCCAACCACAAGCUUCCAAGUUGGUGUAUGAUAAAACGGUAGCAAGUUUAAGAGAACCAAUGCAAACCUAGAUCAGCCGUGCAUCAUUGAUCAACAUGCUAAAUUUAUCCAUCUAGAUGUGAGAACAUUUACUAUUACACAAACCAUGAUGGGGAUUUUCUGACGUUAAAAAAGCAUCAACACUAGAGAAUAUUUACACAUUCACUAACCAACAAAAGGGGAGUAUUUUCAACAAGGCCUCAGAACAAUUCAUCGUCCUCUUCAUGAUAAGGAGAUCAGACAAUGUAGGCAAAUUCUUUUAAUCAUCACAGGCCCACUCAACAGAAAGAUUCGGUCAUACAAAGUGGUUCUCCUAAGAAAAAAAGCCUCCCAUAAUUCAAUACUAUAGAUUCUUCUAGGAUUCUUUCUUUCGUGAGUAAUGCAAAUGCAGACUAGGCAAAACAUGGCCACAGCAAAGAAUCAUCUUUUAUGAGCCACAUGAUGAGUUGCCAUAGGUGAAAACUCAGAAAAGAUGAAUAAAAAAACAUCAACGCUAGAGAAUAUUUGCAUUCACUAACCAACAUAAGGAGUAUUUUCAACAAGGCCUCAGGACAAUUCAUCGUUCCAUCGUUCCUCUUCAUGAUAAGAAGGAUCAGACGAUGUAGGCAAAUUCUUUUAGUCAUCACAGGCCGACCCAACAAAAUAUUUGAUCAUACAAAGCAGUUCUAAUAAAAAAAGCCAACCAUAAUUCAAUACUAGCUUCUUCUAGGAAGCUUUCUUUCAUGGGUAAUGCAAAUGCAGACUAGGCAAAACAUGGGCACGGUAAAGAAUCAUCUUUUAUGAGCCACAUGAUGAGUUGCCAUAGGUGAAAACCCAGGAAAGAUGAAUAAAUUUUAAAAUGUUUAGAACUAAACCCAACCAACAGAAGAGUGUUCCCUUGAUUAGAAAGCCAACAAGUUCUUGAAAGAAACUUCACUUCAUUGUAACCAAUCCAAGAGAAAUUUAACAUCACAGAACCAUCCAAGAUUCCAGUGGAUGGUUAGAAAUUGAAUCCAUUCUAUAAUUCAGAACCACCCUUAGAUAAUUGAAUAUUGUUGUCUUUGAAGACCAUUCAUUUAAUAUUACUAAGAAUAAAGCAAAUACCAGUACAGAAAGAAAUUCCUUAAUAUAAAUAACCUAGGAGAUGGAGAGAAAGAAACAGUGCAACCAGAGGGUAUAGGGACCAUAAAUUACCUGCUCGCAUCUGAGAAAGAAGAGACGAUUCUCCUUUGAAAGAAUUGUGUCCGGACUUUUGCACCCAAGGCAUAUUACAUACUCAUCUGGACACACCAAAUAGCCAUCAAAAGAGUUAAGAAUGUCAUAGGCUACAAGAAACAUCCAUGUGUCCAUCAUGGCAGCAAAAAUUUUGGAUCUUAGGCAGAUAUUUGGUAUAGAACACCAACCAUAAAACGCUUCAAAAACCUUCACCAAGCUACUCCAUGUCAACCAGCACAUAAUGAUUGGCAGAAAACAGUAUAUCUAUAAAUGCACAUAAAUAAGAACCCGUUUGGCAAUGAUUCAAAGAAACGCUUCUAACCUUUCUAACACUUCAAAAUUUUUAUCAUUCAAUUGUUAGAAAGGUUAGAAAAGUUUUCUAAAAUCAGUGCCAAACAUGCUCUAAGACUGGGAAGAGGUUUAUAUGUUUAUUGUUGUGGCAGGACAAGAAGUAGAACAAACCUGUUCCAUCUUUAAGUUCCACGUUGCUACUAAAAGCUAAAGAAGUGCUAUCAGAUUUGUGCGGUAAACUGGAGAGUACUACUCAGCCAGUCUGACUAAAACAUGGAUUGCCAUCUAAGCAUCAGAAUAGUAUGACCCUGGAGGUCUUCCAAACAAUCUCAAGUUUAUCAAAUUUAUCCAAAAUUUGAGGAUGGUACUUGGUACGGCUUGAAGCAAGCACCUCAAGAGUACAGCAUUUCACAGAAAGCAUUGAACUUAUUAACAUUUUCUUCUCUAUACAAGAGCCCUCUCAUUUAUCCUGUCUCCACCAUGGCUGACUUUAUGGGGACACAGCUGAAUUUCUGAAUGUGUAUUCAUGCAUUACUGGUAUUCCUCUUAGAGAAUAUCCAUCUCUUAUAGAUCAUUAACACAAUAAAUCAAAUCAUAAUCAAAUACUUACUGAUAUAUCUUCGCAAGAUCCCUUCAAAAUUCUUUGGUGCAAAUCUUCCCUUCACAACUAAUCUUUGCUGUCCAUCAAGCGAUCCACUUGUCCCAAGUUCAGCCAGCAAGAAGGCCAUGACAUGAUCUGGCUGCCUAUGCAUCCUGAAAAAUAAGAAAAAGAUAGGCAGGUUAAAUUUUGAUAUUUUGCUUGCCAGAACAAUUUCCUAGGAAAACAACUUCAAACAACAUCUAGAUCCAAACAUAUAAACAACAUCACAAUCAAUGAACUAGAUUGCAGAACAAGGUAAAACAAGAAUUCAGAACAAGUGAAUUGGAACAAAUUGCUAAAGAUUAUACAUGAAUUAACAAGAAUUCCCACUAUGACCCUAAAACUUUUUGCAAAAAAUUCCCCGAUGAAAAUAUAUUGAUAAGAGGCAGUCAUGGAGUAGUUCAUGUCUCAAAAGGAAAGCCAAGGCCCAAACACAGACAUUGGAAUCAUACAUUGUAUGAGGAAUAUCAGAUGUAGCAAAUCCCCAAAUCAAGAAAAGGAAAAAGGAUGCAAUAGGUACAGCUUAUUAUCCCCACACCGACACUCCUUCCCAUGCUCUCUCCACCUUUCUGCUAAUCAAUAAUAAUUGUGGAAACAUAUCUUGCAAAGCAGUAGAAAACAAUAUUCACUAGUGAUUAUUAUUCACCAUUCUGCACAUUCCUUGUUCAUAAAUUUAAAAACCACCGAAAAUGCAAAAACAUUCUUAGUUUAGAGGACAUACAAAAUUACCACCGAAAUACAAAUUAGCCAAUAAAUAUUAAAUUCCUAAAAACCAUGAACUUGUUUUCUUAUAGACAUGAUCCAAAUUGGUAAUAAUAUUACACAAUAGAGUUUAUUAAUUAAAGUCCUUUUCUAUAGGAAGCCCCCUUUACACACACACACAUUACAAAUGCACAUGUGAGAACACACCAUCGGUAAAAUACCAAUGCAUUCCUGACAUAUAGAGUAUCCCUACAAACGAGCAGCUGUUAUUCGAACCAAAGGGAAGUCCACUGCAUGCAAAGUGGGAACACAAUAAAAUAUUUGCAUACUAAAAUGAGCUCAAAUCAACCUGAUGCAACCUAGGGCAGUAAAAUGAUAAACCAAACCACAUAAAGCUCCUCCACAAGAUAUGAUUCCCCCCUCCCCCACCAACAUAAACAACAAGCAAAAACAUAUAUGCAUCCAAAGACAUCCACAGAACAUCAGAAUAGACACAAGUUAAUAUUCAAAGGAGCUGAAUGAAAUUUUAAUGGGUGUAUUCUUAAUGGAAAGAAUGAAAUUAUCCAGUGCAAAUACAGUCUUGCUAGAGCAACAGAAAUCUUGCUAAUUAAAUAUAUAUAUAAAAUAGAUGAAGCAAAAUAACAUGAGCAUACGUCUUGCACAGAUCCAUGAAGUUCACAAAAACAGUUUUCUUUGUGCCUUCACGAAGGACUUGUGGGGGCCUCAUAACUGUUCUCCUCCUAUCUCCAGCAAGCUCUGGAUUAUUCUCCCGAAGAAUGUUAAACACCCUACCAAGAAGCUGCACAGUACAAAAAGGGUCAAUAUCCUACAAGGACUGCAUCAUGGUACUAAUACAACAUGAAUAAUAAUUUGGUAAAAAUAAAUAAAUGAAGAAAGGCAUAUUAUCAUAGAAUAAAUAAUAUCAAAUCAAGGAUUAAAAUUGCCUCCAAGCCAAUUAACAAAAAGUGCUUCAAACAUUAAAACCCCCUACAGUCCAAUCAAACUCAACUAGCUGUAAACUUACAAACCUUAACCAUCCAGCAUGCUAAGUGCCAGAAGAUGUUAAACUACUAAUUAUGAUCAUAAUAUUAAGGACACCCAACUCAAAAAACCUUUAUUCACACUAUCUGGAAAAAAAAAAUCCUAAUCAAGUUAAAAUCAAACACAUACCUCCUCAUAUUUGUAGUCUCGGUCACUUCCUUCCCAAGGAUACCGUGGUUGUAGGACAAUGCCUUCUCCUUCUUCAUCCUCACCAUUAUGAUCUAAAAGGGUAGAGAGAACCGUAUCUUUAAAAUUCAAUUUAAGAAUGUUAACAUAGCAAAUUUUUACUUUCAGUUUCAGAUAUAUAUGCCCUUAGAAUGCUACUCUCCUUCCAACAUAGCAUAUUUUUUUAGUUUUUAUUUCUGUAAUACAUUUUCUAUUGGAGGCUCUAAAAAUUACACUUCUUACCAUCCAAAUCUUCCUUGCCAUCCCCACCAUCGUCAUUUAAGAUAUCAGUUUCUACCUACAAAAUAACUCCAAGAAUUAUAUAUCAAUUGCUGCUGAAGAUGCACUAUUAACAAAACUCAAAUUGUUAAUUGAAAAUGCCAAUCCCACAUACAGGUUUCUUCUUCUUCUUUUUCAUACCAGAGAAGGUAUUUUCAACCCCUUCAGAAACUGCAGGUGAAGAAAGGUAAGUCCCCAAUAAAAAGUAAUGUGUGCUAGCAUUUUACAAAUACUUGGAAAAAAAAAAAACCGAAUCAUAAAAACUAAGAAAUAACUUUGUCAAACAGCCAAUCACAGUUAACCAUACAUACCUGACAAGCUUUCGGUUUUUUCAGCCAACUUAUCCACAGAAUCAUCUGCAGGGUCCUGAAUUACAACCUUCUUCUUCUUCUUCUUCUUAGUAGGAUCGAAAGGGGCAAGCUACAGAGCAACAAUCCGUUUGAAAAUGAAUUGUACAUGCAGGUAUAAUUAUAGGUUAAAUAUUAAAAGACUGAAACUUACUUCUGCCACUUCAUCCUUCACUUCAUUUUGAUUUUCGUCUGCCAUGAUUGAACCAAAAUCUGUAGGGAAAGUAAAACUAAACAAAUAAACCUAAUUUUCCUGAAGCAUCCCAUCCAAAGCUCUAUCGAUUGGCAAAUAACAUUAUCACAAUCAAACAAAACAACCUAAUUCGAGAUACCCAUUUUCUUAAUUAAUAAAAACCCUAACCCCACAAUAUACAAUUAAAAAAAAGGAAAUGAACUCCUCCUCCCUAAUCCAAACGGAUCGUAAGCCCUCAACUCAUCCCACAAUGCAAACAUUUGAGAAAUCCAUGUAACGCAUAUGAAAUAUACAAUCAAACCUCAUCGAGGACAGCAGAAUUCACUUAAGAUCUAAACCAUCGAUUUACAUAAUAAAAACAAAGCAUCAAAACACCACAAAUACCAAGAACAACGAACAGAUAAAAUCAAAUCAAAACAUGGCAACUAUUGAAAAGUCCACCGGCGUAACCCUAACCCUUAUUUGCAGAGUAGAAAGAAGAAAAAGGAGACCAAGAUUAAGAAGGAUAACGAAGGCGUACAUCUGAGAUUGUAUGGCUUUGCGCUUAUCUGUCUGACGCUGCUAUCGGCUCCGACUAGGGUUUCAAUUUCAGAUUGUAUAAGUAACCACUCUUCAAGCUACCGCUAUAGCCAUUUAUAGCUCCCCUACUGACUACGCCAUGAACUGGCCUAGGCCCAUCGGCCCGUUUAUUUUAUAAUUGGGCCUGGCCUGUUUAUUUAGUUAGGCCACCAGGAUCUGGAGCCUUGGUCUGUUGGACUGUUUAUACAGACUAGAAAAAACAACACACGAAGGCAGAUCAGAAGAGGAGAAGACAGCAGAUGCGUCCGUGGAGGCCAUCAAUUUCUUUUCCGGCCUACUUUCUGGAAUUGAAACAGAGCUAAUGUACAUGAUGAAGAUCUACAGAGAGAGAUGUAAGGUGAUGGGUAUGAACUUGAAGCAGCCCAUUUAUAGUCCCUCUCAUGAUCUCAUUGUUGGUUAAAAAUAAUGUCAUUAAAAUUUUUAAUUAUAUUAUUUAUAUUUAUUUGACCAAAGUAGUCAAGUUGGACUUUCCAUUUCCUUGGCCGUCACGUCGCGCCUAUUUGUUUCUUGCGGAACAAGGACAGGGACUGCAUCUCGCUGGCAAGCAUUUACAUUUCGGAUUCACUAUUGUUGAAAAAAAUUAGAGAAAUUCAUUCCUUCGAGGUUUUUAAAUAGGUAAAAUUAUCAUUUUUCCUUGUGGAUUGAUCUUUGUUCUAAAGUUCUGGACUUCAUUUAAAAAAAAAAAAAAAAAGAGUAACGACGAAUAAAAAUAUUAAAAAUAAAUCAUUUCUUUAAAGUACUAGUGAGGGUUUUUUUUUUCUUCCAAUUUUAAAUUUAUUUUAGUCAUGUUCAACCGGAUACUCUAUAAUAAUUUUAUACAAAAAAAAAAAAAAAAAGCUUAUGAAAGCGUUACAAACCUCUUUAAUUUAAAGCUCCAAACAUCUGGUGAUUAAUAAUAACAAUUAUCAUAAAUAAAUAAAAGAAUAUAUAAACAUUUCUUUUCUUUUUUGGUCUUGAACAUGGAAUUUUCAGAAUGAGAAGAAAUUAUAUAUAUAUGUAUUAAAAUAUAAAAUUAAUAUACUUAUGAUUUAUAAAAUGACAUAUUAAUAUUAUUAUAAAUCAAAAUUUGAUCUGGAAACUCAUAUUCUUGGGUAAGUGUGAAAUGGGAUCAUUUAAUUUAUUAUAAUAUGAAGCUUUUAUUAAGUUUAAUAAAAAUAUUUUCACUAAAUCUUGGUUUGGACUCUAGAUAGCAUAUUCAACUUCCAGACCCACCAGCCUUGAUUGGAGCAACUGGUCGCCCAGAGCCACACUGCAUGCAUGCACAUACAAAUCAAACAAUAAGAUGCCUCAUCAAACAGCAUAUGAUCUCUUAAAGCCCUAAAAAUGGCACAACCAUGACCCAACCACAAGCUUCCAAGUUGGUAGCAAGUUUAAGAGAAGCAAUGCAAACCUAGAUCAGUCCUGCAUCAUUGAUCAACAUGCUAAAUUUAUCCAUCUAGAUGUGAGAACAUUUACUACUACACAAACCAUGAUGGGAUUUGCCGACAUUAAAAAAGCGUCAACACUAGAGAAUAUUUACAGAGUCACUAACCAACAAAAGGGGAUAGUAUUUUCAGCAAGGCCUCAGAGCAAUUCAUCGUUCCUCUUCGUAGCAAAAAAUACAAUAAAAACCAAAAUAUCAGGAAAGCAAGACUGUCACGCCCCAAGACCCACUCCAAGGGCGUGACGGUCAUUUCACACCUCAAACCCGAAGGCUUAAAGAAUAAUCUGACCCAAACAGUCAUAUUGUAACUGGAUGAUACCAAUUACCAAAUACCUGCUCAGAGUAGCGGAAACAAAAUCUAAAAUCCUCAAAGUUCAAUUUCCAAAUAACUUCCAAAUACCAAAAGAUCCAAAAUAACAUAACUAAUAGUUAAACAAAAUCCAACAUAAAAUCCUAAGUCAAAUCCUAAUGAUGACCAUUCCUCAGCCUAGCCAUCACUCCUCACCCGAACUAAGAGUACCUGAAAAAUUUUCAACAACUGGGAAUGAGCUCACAGCCCAAUAAGGAAUAUUAAUGCAAUUCAUGGAUCAAAUAUUUUCAUUUCAAAUAGGAGAUAUCAAUUUUUUUUUUCUCAUCAAAUAUCAGAGUUUCAAAAAUACCAAUAUAUUCAAAAUUCAACCAACCAAUUUCAUAUCAAAUUCAAACACUUUCACAUCAGACUCAAUCAAAUCCAUUCAAUUUUUCAUUACUCUGGUUAUCAAAUGUCAAAUGCCCAGUUAGGUGGGACUUUUCAAAUGGGUGGCUAGCCUCAAAUUGUUCCUGGUGGACGGAACCAAACACUACUAGUACUAGUAACCUCUAACCGAAACCCCUAGAGGCUGGGGUCCAAAUCAAUUACAUUCCCACCAUGAAAUGUAAAUGUCAACUAUUAUAUCCCGUUAACAGGGCCGAAUAGUCAACUAUUAUAUCCCGUUGACAAGGGCCAAAUAAACCAGAAUGAUGUUUUUGUUCAAGUAUUCAAAUUUACACAACAUAAUAUCUUCAUAUUUUGUGUCAUAAAUAAAACAAAAUAUUCCAACAUAAUAUUUAGUGCAAAACAGUUUGAUCCAUGCAUGAUAACAAAAUAUCAUUUUCUUUUCCACAAUUCAAAAUAACAUAUAAAAUAAUUUAAUUUUAUAAAUAUUACAUUAACUUCCCUUACCUCAAAAGAAGUCCUUGAAAGCUUGGGAGAAGAAUAAUUCUGAAAAAAUAUAAUCUACUCUUCACCUAAUAUAACAUAAGAGAAACAAUUAUUACUAUUUAUUUAUGAUUUAACUAAUCUAUUCCUUAUUUAAAAAAACUAAUAAAUUCCCAAUUUGUUUCUAAUAACACCUUACUAAUUGAAUUAAAUUAUAACUUUAUUUCGUUAUAAAAUUCUAUAUAUAUAUAUUGCUAAAUCUCUUAUUCUAUUUAUUACAAAAAUACCAUUAUUACUAUUAUCUUAUUUAUAAAUCUAAAACUAAAUAUUAUUAUUUUAAUUAAUCAAUUCAAAAGCCACUCAAUGUCUCGGGUAUACCAAACAAAACCAAAAAAACAACUUUUUUUUUUUUUUUUCAUUUCCAUCAAGAUAUAAGCCAAGCCCCUUUUUCCCCACUGGAAAUUGGUGAGAAAAAACCAUUCACCCCACUGGUGGAUGAGAAAUUAUAUAUAUAUAUAUAUAUAUAAAGGCUCAUGUCUCGGGUACACCAAACCAAACAAAAAAAAAAGCAAGUUUAGUUUUUUUUUUUUUUCCUUUCAUUGCCAUCAUCAUGCUUUAUAUAUAUAUAUAUAUAUAUAUAUAUAUAUAUAAAGGCUCCUUCCAGCACAGUACACGUCUGUGCACACGCGUUCUCCCUUUCUUUUUUUUUUUUCUUUCUUUUUUUUUUUUUAACAUUUUCUAAUCUCUUCAACCACAAAUAACAAUAUAUUUAUUUAUUUAUUUUUAUAUAAAAUUAACCCUAACCUAAAAUCAAAACCUUCCAAGGAAAUUUUUUUUUUUUCUAAUAAAACUUAAGAUCUCCCAAAUUCCAAUACUAAAAUCAAAAUCUUAGAUUUUCACUAUUUGAUAUUAAAACGAAUUAAAAAAAAAAUAAUCUAACCCUAAUCUAGAUUUGGGGUUUUCCAAAAAAAUAUAUCUAAUGUGUUUGAAAUUAAUCAAUAAAUCUAAAAUAUUAAACUAGGGGUUAGAAUCUUACCUAUAGAGAUCUGUUCUUCAACCCUGAAAUCUGACUCCAACUUUACGUUCUCUGGAAUUCUGCGAACAGGAACUCUAUUCAGAAAAGAAAGGAAAGAAUAAAAUUUCUAAUUUAUACCUAGGGUAUUUAUUAGUAAAAUUACACUUUUACCCCUCUUCCACUUUAUUAAAUUAAUUAAUUAACUAAUUAAAUUAUUAAUAACAAUUUCCUAAAUUACCCUUAAAAGAAAUGCCUGGGCGUUACAAAGACAACGAAGUACUCGAAUGAGAAAUUCAAGUAUAAAAAACAUGCACAUUUGAAUAGUAGAAAGAUGGUUGUUGGGUUGUUGCAUCUCCAAAGUAUACCGAAUAGAAACUGGUGCACAUGCUCAAGUGGUGACCACAUGGACAAGGAGAGCAGUGUGGUAGAAAACUCUAAAUCUCAAAAAGUUGAAAGAAACAUAACAACGGCUGCAAGUCAAUAAUCAUGGAGUAAAAAUAGAGCACUUGUAAAAUGCUUGAAAAUUUUCCUUUUUGUUCCUAAAAAUUAUGGAUGGAUUAUAACUAGCCACUUUUAUAGAUAGAAAUAAGAUAGACAGCUUUAGAGAGAGGGUCCAUAUUUCGAUAUGGUUAUUUAAGUUGUAAUUUUGUGUCAUAUAUUAUUAUAUGAUUAUAAUGAAGAUAUUUUUUUUUAAUAAGUGAUUGAGGAUUUUUGUCUUAUAGUUAUGUUUGUUGUGUGAAGACUUUUCAGUUGUUUCUUAUAUUAUUAUUGAUUUCUUGCUUUUGAAUUUUACGAAAAUAAGGUAAAAUUAUUGUAGACCCCAUUUUGGGGCUUUUUUCUAUAGGUUAUUUUUGCCAAGUGGAGGUCUAUUUUAGAGCCAUGUGCUAUCCCAAGAAAGGUUGUGGGAGAAUCAUGCUAGUGGUUUAAGGAUGCAAUGGGGAAAUGACACCUAUUAUGGAAUAUCCUGAAGGGAGUGAGGCUGUUAGAGAGGAAGUGAUUUUGUUGCUGGUUAGAGAGAAGGAUGAGGGUAUUCUAUUUAAGGAGAGAUAUUCCUUUAGGCGAGCUGGUUACAGAUGGGGUAAUGAGGGUAGCUUGGGGAAAAAGAAAAGGAGGGGCAAGAUAUUUUUUUAGGCUUAGGGGGGUAAGCCAGAGAAAAAAAGGAAGGAGGAUAUUUUUCUGGGUGGUUAGAGAGGAGUGGGUGGCUUUGGGGAGCAAGUUUUUUUUUUUUUUUAGGAGUUGCAGGCUGGUUACAGGAAAAAAGAAUGAAGCUUGAGGAAAAAGAUAGCUGACAGGAGAGAGUUGAAGCUGAAGAGCAGAGAUUUCUAGACUGGUUCUUGGAAAGGAAAGGGAGCUUAAUGACCAUUAAAUCGAGUUCGAAGAGACACUCCAGGUAUGUUCAUUGUGAGCUAUGUAAUUUUAUCAUUUUGGAUGCUAUUUUAUUGGAUGUUUUUAGGUCGUUUAAGCACCUUUGCCGCUGAUUCUCCCUCUAUUUCAUUGAUUUUUCAUUUGGCGUUCAAAGUCGUUGUUCAUUUUAGUUCGACGUUCAGAGUCAUACCUUCAAUUCGGUGUUCAGAGCCGCAUUUUCAUUUCAACAUCCAGAGCCAUCACAUUUUUCGCUUGGCGUUCAAAGCCGUUUUUUCCAUUUGGCGUUUAGAGCCAUGUCUUUAGUUCAACAUUCAGAGCCGCAUCUUCAGUUUGGCGUUCAGAGUCGUCGUUUGUCUUUAGCUUAAUAUCCAGAUCCAUCGCAUCUUCUUUUGGUUUGGCAUUUAGAGCCACAUCUUCAGUUUAGCGUGUAGAGCCACAUUUUUAGUUUGGAGUUUAGAGCCGCAUCUUCAAUUUUAUGUUCAGAGUCGUGUUUUCUAUUUGGUGUUCAGAGCCAUGUUUUUAGUUCGACACUUAGAGUCAUCAUGUCUUUCUUUCGUUCAACAUCUAGAUCCAUCGCAUCUUCAUUUCAGUGUUCAGAGCCACAAUUUUAGUUUGGCGUUCAUAGCUAUCAUUUGGCCUUAGUUCGGUGUUCAAAGCCGCAUUUUCAGUUUGGCAUUCAUAGUCGCAUUUUCAUUUUGACGUCUAGAGCCAUCGCAUUUUUAGUUUAGCGUUUAGAGCCACACCUUCAGCUCGAUGUUUAUAGCCACAUUUUCCGUUUGGCAUUUAUAGAGUCGUUUUUCAUACCCAUUCAUGCAUUUUGAGUCACCAUCUUUCUUAGUUUUGGCAUUCAGAGCCGUUGUACAUAUUCAUUCAGGCACUUAAAGUCACCAUCUUUCCUUGUUUUUGACGUUCAGAGUCAUUUCUCCUCAAUCGUAUCAUUCAGAGUCAUAACUCCUGGCAUCCGUAUUCACUGGCAUUGCACAUCUUACCUUCAUGGGUUUGCACUUGUCCUCAUUUUCCUCACCUCGUUACCCUGUGCUUAUUGCCUAUUCAUCAUUGUUUUUCCAGAUUUCCCUUUCCACUGCACGUGACAUAGUCCUUUGAGUUCGCAACACAUAUUUAAGUCAUGUUGUUGGACACUUUACAUUUAGCAUUCUCAUGUAGUUCACAUAGGGCAGUCUCCUUUGGAUGCAUUCGUUUUUGUACUCCAAAGUGGUUCGACCUUUACUCAUAUUUGAUAUGAUUUUUUGAGUCACUUUUGGAGACGUCUUAGAGAGAGUCUAAAUCCUUAGUGCGACUUCAGGAGUGCUUUGAGAGAUCCACUUUACUUUUAGGGUUAAAGCCCUUUUUGGUUCUUCUGUUGGCCUGAACGAGCUUGUGUCUUGCUCGUGUCCCUUUGGGGGUCUUCUUGGAGAGAGGGAUGAGGGUAUUCUAUUUAAGGAGAGAUAUUCCUUUAGGCGAGCUGGUUACAGAAGGGGUAAUGAGGGUGGCUUGGGGAAAAAGAAAAGGAAGGGCAAGAUAUUUUUUUAGGCUUAGGGGGGUAAGCCAGAGAAAAAAAAGAAGGAUGAUAUUUUUCUGGGUGGUUAGAGAAGAGUAUAGGGUGGCUUUGGGGAGCAAGUUUUUUUUUUGGGAGUUGCAAGCUGGUUACAGGAAAAAAGAAUGAAGCUUGAGGAAAAAGAUAGCUGACAGAAGAGAGUUGAAGCUAAAGAACAGAGAUUUCUAGACUGGUUCUUGGAAAGGAAAGAGAGCUCAAUGACCAUUAAAUUGAGUUCGAAGAGACACUUCAGGUAUGUUCACUAUGAGCUAUGUAAUUUUAUCAUUUUGGAUGCUAUUCUGUUGGAUGUUUUUGGGUCAUUUAAGCACCUUUGCUGCUGAUUCUUCCUCUGUUUCAUUGAUUUUUCAUUUGGCGUUCAGAGUCGUUGUUCAUUUUAGUUCGAUGUUUAGAGUCAUACCUUCAGUUCGGUGUUCAGAGCCGCAUUUUCAUUUCGACAUCUAGAGCCAUCACAUUUUUCGCUUGGCGUUUAAAGCCAUUUUUUCCAUUUGGUGUUUAGAGCCAUGUCUUCAGUUCAACAUUUAGAGUCGCAUCUUCAGUUUGGCGUUCAGAGUCGUUGUUUGUCUUUAGCUUAAUAUCCAGAUCCAUCGCAUCUUCUUUCAGUUUGGCGUUCAGAGCCAUAUCUUCAGUUUGGCGUUUAGAGCCACAUCUUCAGUUUGGCGUGCAGAGCCACAUCUUUGGUUUAGAGUUUAGAGUCGCAUCUUCAAUUUGAUGUUCAGAGUCGUGUCUUCUAUUUGGUGUUCAGAGCCAUGUUUUCAGUUUGACACUCAGAGUAAUCAUGUCUUUCUUUCGUUCAACAUCUAGAUCCAUCGCAUCUUCAUCUCAGCAUUCAGAGCCACAUUUUUAGUUUGGCGUUCAUAGUUGUCAUUUGUCCUUAGUUCGGUGUUCAAAGCCGCAUUUUCAGUUUGGCAUUCAUAGUCGCAUUUUCAUUUCGACGUCUAGAGCCAUCGCAUUUUCAGUUUGGUGUUUAGAGCUAUUGUUCAUUUUAGUUCGACAUUCAGAGCCACAUUUUCCGUUUGGCAUUUGAGAACUGUUUUUCAUACCCAUUCAUGCAUUUUGAGUCACCAUCUUUCUCAGUUUUGGCAUUCAUAGUCGUUGUACAUAGUCAUUCAGGCACUUAAAGUCACCAUCUUUCCUUGUUUUUAACGUUCAGAGUCAUUUCUCCUCAGUCGUAUCAUUCAGAGUCAUAGCUCCUGGCAUUCGUAUUCACUGACAUUGCACAUCUUACCUUCAUGGGUUUGCACUUGUCCUCAUUUUCCUCACCUCGUUACCUUGUGCUUAUUGCCUAUUCAUCAUUGCUCUUCCAGAUUUCCCUUUCCACUACACGUGACAUAGUCCUUUGAGUUCGCGACACAUAUUUAAGUCAUGUUGUUGGGCACUUUACACUUAGCAUUCUCAUGUAGUUCACAUAGGGCAGUCUCUUUUGGACGCAUUCGUUCUUGUACUCCAAAGUGGUUCAAUCGUUACUCAUAUUUGAUAUGGUUUUUCGAGUCACUUUUGGAGACGCCUUAGAGGGAGUCUAAAUCCUUAGUGCGACUUCAGGAGCGCUUUGAGAGAUCCACUUUACUUUUAGGGUUAAAGCCCUUUUUGGUUCUUCUGUUGGCUUGAGCGAGCUUGUGUCUUGCUCGUGUCCCUUUGGGGGUCUUCUUGGUUCUUCGGUAGAGCUCACAUCAUUCCACUCAUUAUUCACACUUUCUUUUCACUCUAGUGUUCAUAUUCCUUACAUUCGUGAGCUUUACCGAAGAGGGGCAUAUUUGUAGACCCCCAUUUUGGGGCUCUUUUCUGUAGGUUAUUUUUGCCAGGUGGAUAGAUCUUUUAGAGCUACAUGCUACCCCAAGAGAGGUUAUGGAAGAAUCAUGCUAAUGGUUUGAAGAUGCAAUGGAGAAAUGACACUUGUUAUGGAAUAUUCUGAGUAGAGUGAGGUUGUUAGAGAGGAGGUGAUUUUGUUACUGAUUAGAGAGAGAGAGGAGGAUAUUCUGUUGAAGGAGAGAUAUUCCUUUAAGAUAGCUGGUUACAGAGGGGGUAAGAUAUUUUUUUAGGGUUGGGGGGGCAAGCCAGAAAAAAAAAUGAUAUUUUUUUGAGUGGUUAGAGAGGAGUGUAGGGUGGCUUUGGGGAGCAACUUUUUUUUCUGGGAGUUGCAGGCUGGUUACAGGAAAAGAGAAGGAAGCUUGAGGAAAAAGAUAGCUGAGAGGAGAAAGUUGAAGUUGAAGAGCAGAGAUUUCUAGAUUGGUUCUCGGAAAUGAAAGGGAGCUUAAGGACCAUUAAAUCGAGUUCGAAGAGACACUCCAGGUAUGUUCAUUGUGAGCUAUGUAAUUUUAUCAUUUUGGAUGCUAUUUUGCUGGAUGUUUUUGGGUCGUUUAAGCACCUUUGUCUCUGAUUCUCCCUCUGUUUCAUUGAUUUAGCUUGAAAAACUAAUGAAAACCCUUAUUCUAUUCACUUUGGAGCAUCUAGAAAUAGGGGUUGCAUUUUUGCUUUGAAUUUGUUUAUGUUUUUUUCCACCAGCAUGAGCCCAUUGAUUGAUCCUGAGAUGUGGUUUCAUUAGGUUUCUAUUUCUCAUGUUUUGUUACCUUCCUCCUUCUUAUGUUUUUUUCUUCCACCAUUUGUUCUUACUCAUUUUUCCUAGUUUUAUGGUAAAUGUUUCACAAAUGUUGUAUAUGGGUUGAGAUUUUUUUUAGGCGGACAAAAAUGGAUAAGUUCUGUGCCAGAGAAAAGUAAAAGGGGAUGCCAAUGCUAAGAGCAGGUGAGUAUGGAGGAAGAGAGGCUCACGAUUAGAGACUUUGUGAUUUCUGUCGAGGCUCACAUCAAGGAGGGAGAUACUUUUUAUUUGGUCACUCAAAAAUGGUGGCUACAAUGGUUGGAGUAUGUGAACCAAGACCUGACAAAUAACAUAGACGUAUCAAUUUUGUCAGAGUAUUGUGAUUCAGUUAGCUCUAGUGAUGUGAAGAGGCCUUCUGUUAUUGAUAAUUCUGACUUGGUGUAUGGCAUGACAUCUAAGGUCCACGAUGGGAAUUGAGUGUCACGAUUGUCAAGGGGAAUAUUAGUAGUGCUGGCUUUGUCAACUUCCUUCUCAUCACUAAGUCCAUUGAUGCAAUAAUGCACCUUGCAGCCCAGACUCAUGUCAACAACUCCUCUGAUGAAGUCUAUGGAGAAACAAAUGAAAACGACCCCCUGUAUCAGUAACAACAUUGUCAUUAUAGAACCUGUAAAGAGUAACCGUACACCCAUUGUAGAGACUUUGCACAACGCCAAGAUAUGCCAUUUUGGAACGACCCAAUCAUGCGGCGAAAUCGACGAGAAUCAGUUGCAGCCCCAGGUUUCUAAAUAUGAAAGCGAAAUCGUGGAAGAAAAGUCAUUUUUGUCAACGAAAUCUCCGGAGUUGAAGCGAACGAAUGGCAGAGCGAUGCAAUUCGAGGGUGUCAGAGGAUAUAUGUUGCCGGAAUUCCAAUCCAUCGAAGUGGUGACACAUCAAUCAGAUGUGUACGCCUUCGAAGUUGUGAUCAUAGGAAUUUGGGCUGCUCUGCUAUUCAGCCUAGCCAACCUUGUUUUGUACCAGAUAAUGUAGUUUCCCAUGCAUUCAACAGUUACUAUCAGCAAAAUGGAGCUUCUAACAUCCAGCCUUGAUGUGGGACUAACAACAAAUCAAGCUACAGGGGAUUCAUCAUCAUGCCAUUUGCCUUGACUAUUGCUUUUUGGUUACCAUUUGAGAACCAUUUAUAAGAUAAUAUUGCAGCCAUGGUUCGUCAGUGUGUUCGAAACAUGAUUUUCUCAAUGCAUAAGUUCCCCAUGCCCUUGUCUCCACUGUCAAAACCACUCCAUCUCAUCACCUUUCCACCCUUCAUACUCCACCAUACCUAGUGUCAAGACCCAUCAUACCCCUUAAACCCAUUUAUCUCACUAUAUUCCACUACCCAUCCCACUAAUCAUAUCCCAUAUCUUCCAUGCCCAUUAACGUGCCCACCAUCCAACUCAUUUCCAUCAUUCCCCACGUGUAUGAAGACCAAAACGCAUGGCCACCUUCAUAUUUUUUUUCUAUCCUACAUACCUAUAGACCUUAUUCAUCGAACCUACCAUCAUCUGACCUACCUCCCAUUCAUUCCCAUUACUUCCCGCUUGCAUGAACCUUUCUACGCGGGGCCACUCUCAUUUCCCCACCUCCACAUACCAUCUUACCCAUCACUAUGCCUUCCCAACUUUCACACUUCACCAUACCCAACUCAUCACCACCCUCAUCUCUCUCUACAUCCUCAUACUCACUACCACCGAACCCAUUUUCUCUCACUAACUCGUUCACCACCCAUUUCCUACCUAUUUAUCUCUCAACACCCACAAAACCCAUUCUCUUACUACAUUUCCAAUACCCAUUCCACCAACCCUUCCCUAUACCCAUUUUUCUCAUGGCACCACCCAUUCCAACCUACUGUUAUCUUCAUUGCUGAGGUUGAUACCUUUUGGGUCAGUGUGAGACAACAAACCAUGAAACAAUGGCAAACAUGAAAACUGAGUUUAGGAAUUUAUUGGAAGGUUUUACCAUUGAUCAUAAUGCAAGGGUGAUGGUCCUUGCUGCUGCUAAUCAUCCAUUAGAAUUCGAUGAAACAAUUUGGAUGAUGACAUGGACGACUGAAGAGAAUAAGCAUGGGAUUCCGCUUAAGACACAGGAGCUCUAAGCGUUUGUGCUUCUGACUCGAUAUUUGGAUUUGUUCGCAGCUUCCUCUCUGUCUAUAACACUGUAGUUAAGUUGAUAUCCAUUAGGAACUCUUAAACGAUUGUGUGGUGCACAAGGAUGCAUUGAACUGUGAAAUGGUCACAUGAUGAACAACUCAACACCCCACGUCGAUAUUCUAGAAAUGUCUCGUGAUUGAUGAAACCCUAGGGUCCCAACCCCGUCUCCUUCCAACUUUAACUGGGUUUAUCCUCUCUUCUAUUCUCCUUUUCCAAUGUCUUUCAUAAACCUUUUAUUCUUAUAUCUCUCCAACAACUGUGGCAUGCUCCACUAUAUAUCUGGUGACCAGUUCAAAAUACAAGUGGUUAUCAGAAGACCCAAUGGAGUUGGUCAGCAACUUGGGAUUGAGCGCUCACAACGCCUUGAAUCAUAUUUUCAAUCAAUACCUAGAAUCCAAAUUGUGGCGUGCUUAACCCCUUACAGUGCCAAGGGCUUGAUAAAAGCUGCAAUCCGGAGUGAGAACCCAAUGAUUUUUUUUUUUAGCAUGUUUUGCUUUACGAUCUCAAGAAGAGGAUUCCAGAUGAAAAGUAUGUGUUAUCAUUUAAGGAAGCCCAGAAGAGACUCGCAGCCCAAAUAGCUUCCAAUGUCUACUAUCAUGUGGUCAAUUCUCUUGGAAAUGGAACCUGGGAUCCAAAAAACUCUAGGAGGGGUUGAGAAAGAUUGAAGACAAUAAUACUUUGGUUUUCCAUGUUAACAUUUGCCCUGACAAGAAGAAGAUAAAGGACAGGCCUUAGAUCACAGAAAUGGAUCACCUCAUGCUGGAGUAUCAGGCUUUGGGGUAUUUGUUGAAGGAUGAAGUCUGCAUAAAACUGGAAUUGCGUGUUGUGAUGGCACUUCGUGAGCAUAAAGGAAACGAGAUUUCUUAAAGCUGGCCAUAGCUUUGAUUCAUCUUGGGGAAUGGAUUGUUCUACCGUUCUUAAGUUAGUGUUGUCCAGUGAUGAUCUCCAGUUUGUUUCUGAGGAUGCUGCUUAUGGUUUUGUACUAAAGUGGACCCAAAUCCAUUACCCAAAACUAGAGGACAGACGAGAAAUCCUAGUUUCCCGCCUUGAUCGCCUUAUUCGUUUCCCAUACAUGACCUGUCGAAAGCUGAAGAAGGUUUUGAUUUGAAAUGACUUUGAUACUGAACUUGCAUUGAAAGUCAUGUUAGAGAUUCUUUCUUUUUAAGGCUGAAGCACCAUACAGGUAACGUUUCCUUGCCGCAGAGGAGGUUAAUUCAUCCCAUCGUUGUUUUGUGGAGAAGGCUUACAAGUACCUUCCAAUCAAGGUGGUGGAGUUUGAACGGCCCCGUCAUCAGUUUGUUGGGUAUUUGGUCUCCACUGGUCAACCUGUUAGGGAUUACAUUAACUCAGUUGUGAGACAUGUUCUCCUCAGAUAGGGUGCCCUUAGUAUCAUGAUCAAGAUCAUUAUUCGACCGGGAUCCCAAGGGUGAGCAGGGCCCCAUAACGCCAUUGUCUGAUCCGAUGACUAUUCAAGCAUCCAAUCUCACUGCAUGGCCAACUAUGCAUGGCCCUUUUUGGGGCCAUGUGUCUUCUCUUCUCAUUGUUUCAUCUUUGAUUUUAAAAGGAAAAAAAAUAAGUAAUAAUUCUCAAACUCCAUUUUGCAUAUAAUCUUCCAAAUUUUGAUUUUCCAAAUAAUUUCAACUCUUCAAUUUAUCAUAUUUAGCAUUUUUUUAGGUUCCAAGAAUCCAUUUUAAUAAAAUUUUGCUGUCAUUUCUCUUUCUGGCAAGCAAUUUUCACAUUUCCUCUGAUUUUUAAAAUGUUUUAAAAUAAACAAGAAUUAAAUUUCGUAAUUCCAACUGAUGGAAUUUAUGGAAUUGAUUCAUGCAAAAAUAAAUGGAGCUUUGGUGGGAGCCCAACAUAUGUGAUUUUAAGAUUGAUUGAUUGAUUGAUUUGAUUGUUAUACAUGAUUGAUUUAUUCCGCUCUAUGACAUGCAUGUGAUUAUUCUUUGUUUGUUCACUGACUUUUGUUUUCCAUGAAGUAAAUCAGCUUAUCACUCAGGCACACUCUUCGCCUCUCUUAUUCAUUCAGGUAUUUUGUUUUGAUUUUUCAUUUGGUAUCCAUUGAUUUACUUAUCAAUCGCUAUGCUUGAUUCAUCUCAUUAGUAGAGACCCGUUUUUAGGGACUUAGAGGGGUGCUACGGUCUUAUUCGUACAUUCCUGAUAAGUAACCUGACUCUCGAGCCCAUAUUUGGUUUUUCACAGACCACUUUUUUUCCAAAUAAGGAGUUACACUUAUGGUUUUUCUUUCUUAUUUUAUUUACCCUUUAAAAAUAAAACAAAAAUAAGUGGCAACUCCAAGUCAUUUUCUUAAUAAAUAAAUCAUUUUUCAAAUAAAAAGCGAGCUCGUCAUCGAGUGGAAGCGCAUGAGCAGAAAUACGGGGUCCACAAUUAUAUUUUUACUAUUUUUAAUAUAAAAAAUUAUACUAAACCACUUUUAACCCAACCUCAUUUCAAGUCAAAUUUCAUAUGUUAACACAAUAUCUGAUUUUACACUAUUUUUAAAAAACGUUUUUAACCUAAAAAAAGGUUAAAUAUUUUGUAAAAUUUAAGAGAAAUACUUUUAGGCUAUGUUUGAUUCCCGGAGGGAAAUUUAAGGGAAAAUGUAAGGGAAAGAAAAUACAAAGGAAAAAUAUAAGGAAAGAAAAAGUGAAGAAAAAUAAAAAAUAGAUUAAAAGUAGAUAAAUUAUUUUUAUUUUUACUUCAAACUCAUUUUAUUUAUUUUAACUCAUCCAUAUAAAGAUUAAAUAAUUUAAACAUACAUAAAAUUUUAAUUAAAUUUGAUUUUCUUUUAUAUUUUUCACAGGACAACCAAACAUGAAAAAAAAUCAUUUUCCUUUAUAUUUUUUUUUUCUUUCCUUAGUAUUUUUUUUGGAACCCAACACAACCUUAAAAUUUGGAAAAAUUACUUAUAUUAUUUUCUAAUGAAACACUUGGUUGGUGAUUCUCUUGAAAAUAUUUAAAAAAAAAAACACUUCUACUACAAAUGCUUGAAGUAAAAAUAUUUUCAAAUACUUAAAAACAAUGUCAAACACUAAUUUAAAGUUAUGUUUGAUUAAUCAUAUAUAAAUAUGUGAUAAAAUAAGAGAUAAAAUUAUAUUAAAUCAAAUAUGAGAUAUGAUAAAUAGUAAGAUAUAUUAUCCAAACUCUUAUUUGUAUCUCAUAGACAUGGAUCGUCAUAAUCCUAAAUUGAAAUAUGAGAUAUCCAAAUUCAUGAGUUAUAAAUUCAUUUUUUUCAUCUAUUUAAAAAAAAAAUUAUAUUAAUCAUUUUUUAAAAUAACUUUUUUAUUAAGAAAUUAAGAUUGAAGUCUAAAAAAGAAAAGAAUUAAAAAAAUAUAUAAAAUAUAACAUAAAAUAAUAUAUAUAUAUAUAUAUAUAUAUAUAUAUAUAUAUAUAUAUAUAUUUAACAACAUAAUAUAAUUGUGGACCCGCGUUUUUCAUAUGCAUCUUCACUAGACGGCGAAACUUGCUUUUCAUUUAUCUUGUGAAAUUUUGAUUUUUUUUUUAAAGGCUUGGAGUCGUCACUUAUUUUAGUUUUUUUUAAAGGAAAACAAAAUAAAAAUGAAAAUCUUUGUGACUCUUUAUUUAGAAAAAAUAUGUCUACAAAAAUUGAAUAUGAAUCUGGGGUCAGGUUAUCUAUUAGGAAGGUAUGGUGGUGAGAGAAUGAGGGAGUAAGUGGAGUGGUUGGGGAAGGUAGGAAGAGAUAUGAGAGGGGAGAGAGAAAAGAAAGAAAAAAGAAAAAAACUAAAAUAAAAAUAUAAUAAUAAUAAUAACAACAACAACAGUUAUAGUAAUAAUAAUAAUAAAAUAACAAAAUAAUAAAAAUAAAUAAUUAAAUGGUGAGUGUGUUAAAAAUAUAAGAUGUAAUCGAGAAUUAAAAACUAAGGAUAAAAUUGGGCUCAAAAUCAACGUAAAAAUAAAAUUGAGACAAAUUUUGGGGGUACAAAUAUGCCCCUCUUUGGUAGAGUCCACGAGUAAAGUGAUUGUAUACACAAGCGAAACGAAGUGAGCUCUGCCAAAGAACAAGAAAAACCAUCAAAUUUGUUAUAGUAUGACACGGGCUGUCUUAAACCAAAACAAGAACAAUAAACUCUAAAAUCCUACAAAAAUGGCAAUAACGAAAACUCUUAAGGUGCCUUUAAAGUUACACUAUGAAUCCAGACUCCCUUAGAAAAGUCUCCAAAAGUGACUCAAAAAUCGAUGUCAGAGUCGAGUAGCAGCCGAAGCACCAAGGAGCAUAUGAACAAACACAUACAGAAGGAAAACUACACAUGCUCUAUACAAGGGCACAAGGCGAGGAGUACCAAUGAUACGAUCAAAACACAUGCUAUUAGCUCAAUAGACUAUAUCACACACAAUGGAGGAUGAUAGACUCUAGAAACUAUGGCUUUGAAUGCUUGAACUGAUAAAGGUAGCUCUGAAUGCCUAAACAGAGCAAGGUGACUAUGGACGCCUAAAUUGAGCAAGGUGGCUCUGAACGCCUAAACCGAAUAAGGUAGCUCUGAACGCCUAAUUGAGAAAGGUGGAACUGAGCAAAGUGACUCUGAACGCCUAAACUAAUAAAUGUGGCUCUGAAUGCCUAAACUGAGCAAGGUGGCUUUGAACGCCUAAAUUGAUAAAGGUAGCUUUGAACGCUUAAACUGGACAAGGUGACUUUGAACGCCUAAAUUGAGUAAGGUGGCUCUGAACACCUAAUCUGAGUAAGGUGGCUCUGAAUGUGAUCGCUUGAUUUUUCUGAUUUAUUACAUCAAAACACAAUUUAUAACCUAAUUCACUACUCUAGAGUAGCUUGUACCCGAUAAAAAAUGGUUUUAGUACAAACUACCAUAAUAUAGUAGUUUUUAAGUGUCGUCUACUAGGAUGGAUUAUUCUUGGUAAUUAAGGCUUGAAUGAGAGGAUAAGAAAUGAUUGUGAUCAAGUGAAAUUGAUUUGAAAAUUCAUGGUGAAAAAUCAAUUUAACAAUGGUCUCAAAUUGAGAAGAAAAAUGAAAUGUAAAAUAUAAGAAAAUUAAUAAGAGAUGAAAUUCUUGAAAUUAGGAUUUUCUAGAAAACAAUUUCCAUAGUGAAUAGAUGUUGAGAUCUAAUUUUCAUCAAGUUAGAUUGAAAACCUAAAUUCUCAUCUAAACCGAUUUUGGAUGUAGUUUUAAGUCUAGAUCUAAUUUAUCUUCAAAUUAGGUUAUUUAAUCCAAAAGAUCAAUUCAAAUCAUAUCUUCAAUUCAUCUUAAAUUAUCUUCCAAUGAUUCACACAAUGCAACUAUUCAAUCUCAUCAAAUCUAACUUUAAGAAUUUAAUGAAUCUACUUAGUUUACAUUGUAGUAAUCAUCUAAGAUAAUUUGAAGAGAAAAAUCCCCAAAAUUCAAUUAAUCAAUCAAUUGGAUCAAAUUACCUUUGUAAUUCAAGCUCAUUUAUCUAAUUCACCAUAGAUCUUGCCUUUAGAUCCUUCUUCAUUCGAGAAAAAAAAGAUUUAGUCACUCAUUUAAACACUCACUCAUUUGGCUGGGUUGGUACGUCUGGCGUGACGAAACUAAACGUCUUGAAGUCUAUAUCCACCACUUCCUUCUUGUAGAUAGCAAGCCAUAAAACAACCUUCGCCUGAAACAAUCAAACAAAGUAGAUUCAAACUUCCCUUCUUAUGUACAAUGCAACAAAGUAUACACAACUACAAGCUACUUUACCAAAUUAUGUUGUAUUCCACUCAUACAACUCAUUUUCCUUCAUGGCCGAGAAUCUAGGAGCUGGAUUAUCUUGUUCUACAGGUCAUAUACAUAUAACAUCCAAUGGUUAUUUAUAAGAAUCGGUAAGUAGACCUGCAUUAUUCGACUUACAAUGAAUUACAAAAAAUAUUGGGUUAAUGAGAUUACAAUAUUACAAACAUAAAACAAUGCAGUCUACCUCACCUCAUUAACAUUCCGGUAUGAAACAUCUAGGGGAUACAAAUAUAGCUCAAAACGGAUUAUUAUUGCUUAUCACGUCAAAUGUUUGGUGUUGGAGCGCAUGACCAUUUCCUGCAUAUCAUAUGAAAACAAUUAAAGCUUUCAAAUUUAGCAAAACUUGUGUACAUGUUAUAACAACUAAUCAUUGAAAUUCUGUCUCCAUAAAAAUUCUUCAUUACAGCUAUGUAUGGCGAAAGAAACAGUUUUGUCUUUGAUACAUCUUCAAAUUGCAGCAUCCUACAAUAUGCAUCCACGACCUAAAAAAAUGAUUAAUAUGUAAGCAAUAUUAACAAUCACUAAUGACAAGUUGUUACGUGAAUAUGAAACUUAAAAUAAUACAAGAUCAUGGAAAAAUUGUGACAUUAACAUCAUUCCCAAUCCAUUUGUCUCAUUCGAAAGAGGUAAGGUUGCCUCUGCUUAAACUCAUGUCAUGCAUUGCCAAGUUCCUCACUUUCACCAAAAUCAUAUAUGUUAGGGUAAUACAAAUUUUUUCAGGUUCAUACAAUUGAAAUUGGAGUAAUAUAUGGUUCAACAUACCUUAGGUCCAAAUCUCCAUCAAAUACAAUUGCAACUACUUGUUUCAUGUCCAUCUUUAUGGCAGACUGUCGGGUUUGUGGUUGUGCUAUGAAUGGUGACAACAGAUUGAGAACCAUUCGAUGCAUUCUCCAUCGCCUCCCACCCCUCUUGGAUGGGGCCAGAAUCAUAGAACGCAAAGAAAAGUGGUUAUAGACGACUAUUUCUUCUUCAUCUGUUAAUUUGGACUAACAACUAAUUAGUUCAAUGAAGGACACUAUAAUAUUAGUAUUUUUUUUUAAGAACUGCUGCAAUAAUGAAUGUCCCCCAGAAUGUUACCAUUAAGUGUUAACUUUGACCCUCCGGCCUCCAUAUGAAAAUCUGGGGCUGGUUGUCGAAUUGGAGUGUCUGGUACCUUUUUUGUGUCAUGCCAUACCAUGUCAUGUCAUAUUGGGUAGAGUUUGCAUGCUUCUUGGGCACGGGAAAGACAUUGGAUACAUACCUAGAGUGACCAACAACACUCGAAUGUACACUUCUUGCCAUUUGGCACCCAAUCUAUGCAUCAGCUCAUGCAUGACGUCAAACUGUUGUUGUAUGCCCUUUUGAUAUGUCGUUAUUGCACCUUCUACUUCAUGGUACUGCUCCAAGAUUUCCUGUCACAUGUUAACCAAAUUCCACCAAAUUAUUUAGUGUAAAACUCUUCAAAAAAAAUCUUUAAAACCCCUAAUUUAUAAUAUUUCGACAAGUAAACCCAAUUAUAAUUCCAUUGAGACGGAUUAAACUCGUAAAAUAACAAAAAAUCAUGUGUACAUCACUACUUGUGGGCCUACUCUCGGCCUCCACAUGUGUAGGUGGCGGUGACGAUUCAUGGAACCCCUACAAUUGAGAACAUGACACUUGUUAAGAACAUAUAAACCUUUAAGGUGUUCAACUUGCAUGUCAUCAAAUUACAUUUUUGCAUGCAUAUAGACUAUAUGACUACCUUGCCAUGUCCAAACUGCUAAACUCCCUUAUCUCAGCAGUUAGUCGCUGCUUUAUCAACUCUUCUGACCAUGCCAAGAGUUGGGGCACUAUCAUGGGAACAUGAACGAAAAGAAUCUUGAAUUUCAUGACAUAAUGGAGUUGCACCAUGGAAAUAAACAUAUGUGCAAUCAUGACUUGGUGUUACUGAUGUUAACAAUUAAAAAGUUACCAAGUAACAUAUGUAAAAGAAGUGCAAUACCUAUAGAAAAAUGAUGUAACCAUGUACCCAUACACUAUUACUUUGCUUAUAUUGUCUUAUACUCUCUACAAGUUGGUUAAUAACAAAUCGGCCCUAGUUAACAUCGUUUCUGAAACCAUCUUCAUGGAUGGUAUGCCACAAGUUUCGACAUCCAUCAAUAUUUUAGGUGGGCGCCAAUAUCGUCACACAAGCGUAGUAAAUGAAGCAUCUUCGAAACUCCUCCCCAACAAGUAAGUUGAUGAGUCUCUCCUCACAUGUUGGGGGUGUACCAAACGGAUGAUUAAAUGGGGUUGAUGGAAUUUAUAAAAUCUAUCUAGUUGUCAGGAAGCCAAAGACAAGCCCCACAUCAGUAGUUGUAAGAUCAUAUAUUUUAUCGGCUAAGAUCUCUAUUCGUUUGAAUCCAACGUUAAAAUGGUGGAUCAACCAUAGACAUAUAUUGUGUCAUAUCUCCUUACAGUUUAAGUUUAGAAGACCUCCAAACUGGAGGUUUCGAACCACUUCCAAUUUCUCAUCCGGUAACUUGUUGUAUAGUUUUAGGAAUCUUGAAGAUGAACAUCGUGUCAACAAUCUGGUGGCCUGCAUUAAAAUUGUUGGAGAUCAUUAGUCUCAAAUUCCAUUAACAUAACUGCAGUUGCUAAUUGAGUAUUAUGGAUAAAUAGUAUAAGUUUAAAUUGUAGUGGACAAAAGAGCUACAAAAAGAGUUGUGCAUUGAAGUUAUUGCACAUUCAUAAUCUAUGCAUUUUUAUCUAAUUAAUAGCCACUGCCAUGGGAUUUCAUCUAUUUUCAUGAUGUGGUUGGUCAAAGUUGGAGCUAGAGCUUCAAUUUCAAGAGGUAAGGUUCUUGACUUGUUUUUUCUAUUUGUUGAAAAAGUGAGGGAGAGUUAGACCCAACAACAGCCAACAACUUGCAUAAGCCUUGAAUUAUAGGUACUUUGUUAUCCAAGAGUGCUAAAGUAAAUUAGAGAUUAUGGGAUCAUUUGUGUAUCUCUUCAUUUUUUAGCACUCAUUGAUUUUACUCUUAUGUUAAAAUCUGAUGGUGACAAACUCUACCUCUUUUAUGUAGCCACGAUGUGAUGAUAAUGAGAGCAAUACUGGAGUGGUUCCUAUGAGGGAAACCCAGGAUUGUGUAGAAAUCCUUUGAUAAGGAAAUGUGGAAAUCUUAAACAAGCAUUACCACAAACAUCAACCUCUGAAUAGGGUCAAGACCUGGAGCCUGCCAAAGGGUUUGAUAGGAAAAUGGUGUUGAUGGGAUAUGGAAGUGGGCUACUCUUUGGACUGAUUAUUGGAUACAUCUUUACCACAUGGAAGCACGAAUGGUUUAUCUAGACUUUUGUAAGGAGGUAACAACAAAAACAAAGGGUAAAUUGAAUUAGUGUUAUUAUAUUGUUUCAUUUCCUUUUUAUUUCUUUCAAAUGUGGAAAAAUUAGUGGACUAGUAUUAAUAUAUUUGAAAUGGUUAAAUAGUUAUGGUGAUUUGCAUGUAAGAAGUAAUGUAACUAGCUUGUCUUUUUAAAGUAUUAUUUGUAAAGUGUUGUUGUGACACUAGUAGCUUAGACAUGAAUUUUACUAAUCAGCAAAAAAGUAUAAACAUCAAUAUGAAUACACAUCAAUGCUCAAGAAAGCAAUACAAUUGAAUGAAAAAACAAACAAUACUAGCUAUGGGAAACCAAAGCAGAAGGAAACAAUUAAGGUGCUACUGAAACUUUAGUAGUGCAGUGAAGUUAAAUCAUCAAUAACAACCAACAACAUUGAUACCAUCACAAAUAGUACUUAAAAAACCAACAAUAUAAUUAAAGAAGAGUGCAAUAGAAUUAAAGAAGAGUUUCAUUUUACUAAGCUCUAUAUACCAAGAAUAUAUAAUAAUUUUACAGAUAAAAUUGCCUAUGUUUUUUAAGUCUUUUUUACCAGACAUAUGAUUCAAUUACAGGAUUGUGUCGUGUAGCUAUCAUAUUUAAUUUUGCUUCAAAGAACUUAGAAUAAACAAGAGUAUAUAAAUUUUGCCAUUGAACGUGGAAUUAAAAUUUGAACCAUAUGUUCUAACAAAUUGCAGAAUAGCUGCCUCCUCAUAGUUUGUCUUGAUAAUGAGUCAAUAUAUAUAUUUUUUUCUCUUAACAUGCUUGAAAUAGCUUGCAGAGGUAACCAAUAAAUUGAAGUUAUGCUACAAACUUGAAUUAAACAAUGAUAACUUUUAUAUAAAGUUAGGUAAUCCGCUUGUUUUUCUCACCAUCCACAAAAGCUAAUGGGAAGAGAGAAUUAAAAAAAAUAUUAAUGUGGAUCAAUAAUUUAUUAGUGAAUGCUUAUGUAAUAAACAAUCCUUAACAGUCAAUGCAAGUAAGUGUCUUAAGUAGGUUAAAAUCUCAAGUUCUCGAAAAAAAUUGAUGAAAAAAAAAAACAUGAAAGAAUGCAUUACCUCCGUAGAGGCCAUUGAAGAAUGAAAUUAUCCCUGUAGGUUUCAACCUUGCAACAACUAUUUACUUGAAAUAUGUUCUAUAGUAGUUAUCUCCCACCUAGAAGAACUCAUAAUAAAGGGAAUGUUCAUUUAAACAGUUAUACCAUUCAUCGGUCUAAUAAAUUUGGUAAUGGCACACCAUAUUCAGAUUUCUAAGGAAAAAAUAAAUGAAUAAAAAAAAUAUGGCAAUUUGGGAUAAAACUUCCACUUUGGAAGCAAACACUUGUAUGAACUACUAUCCACCUAACAACUUACCAUAAUCCACAUAAUGAAUAAAUUGCUAUAGAAUAACCAUAGUGGCAAGCUACGUAACAAGUUAUCUCAUUGAAGAGACCUUGAAAGACAAUUUUUAUUACAUGUUAGACUUCAUGACAGCUUCGAAUGGAUGCAACCAGAACGUGAUGCGAUAAAAAGUGAAGACCAAAAUGUGGAAAUAAUAAAGGACAACCAUUUUCCUCUUCUCCCUUCCAAAAAAAAAAAAAAAAAAAAACGUCAAUCGCAAUAAGUUCAUAAUUUAAUAACAAAUUGUCAUCCUCAUUUAGGCUUCGAACAAGAAAUGCGAAAUAAUGUAGACACCCUUAUGAAAUUAAACAACAAGUGAAAAGAGACCACAUUCAAAUUGUACUUUCAAUCAAAUUAGUUAAUCAAAGCAACUUUAAAUCAUGAAAAUAAAAAGAUAGUUCAUCAUGCCUAUAACGAGGCCAAUACAUACAUACCAAAAUCAACAACCCCCCCCACCAUAUACCAUAGAAUGGAAUAAUGAGGGAUGGUACAAAAUAUGAAAACCUUACAAACACAAAAAGGGAUAUGUCAUAGCAAUUGAUUAUUACAUUUAGAGCGAUUGUGACCUAUACUAUUGCAUCGAGAGCAAUGAAUUGUUUUCUUAUGGCAAAACUAUCACUCAAUAUAUUUUUGUCAAGGUCUUCCUGGAGGACGUCUCACAUGAGGGGGUUGGAGAGCAGGAAAUAAGUUGCCCACUCCAUCUUGUAAACUCCCAUUCUCACAAACUUUGGGCAUAUUGUGCAUUGGUAAUGGUUGAAACUGACCCAAGUAAAUCAAAUGUUGAGUGGAGGCAUGAAAACAUGGGUCGAUAUACUCAUACACAUCGUGUCUCAGUGUGCGGAUGACAGCACAUACAUGUGAACAUGGCAAUCUGGACAUUUGCCAUGUCAUACAAGUACAUGUACAUUGAUGCAUAUCGACAACCAAAUAAACUUCCCCAGUAAAUACCUUAAACGUCCCCCCCAAAUAGGGUAACACACUAAUCGAACUAGACCUCAUGAUAUUUGACAUUAGGUUAUCUUCUGUUUUUUGUCCAACCACGCUCUUCCACUUUUUGUACCACGCAUAUGGGUGUCCAACAUGGCUACAAGCUUUAUCCAUGUGCAUUAACAAUAACGUAUAAAUUGUUUGGUGGCGCUCAUUUCUUAACCACGCAUUGAAGGACUCUACAAUAUUAGUUAUCAUUUUAUCCCAACGUUUUUUUAAGGAACUUUGGCAUUGCCCAAUGCUCAGGAUUGUUUUCCACAACCCAUUUUUCUAGGUUGUCAUUGAAGCGCACAAGUUUUUCAAAUGCCUCGUUGUAAUCUAUAUCCAACCUAGCAUACACAAUGCUAUCCAAAAGCAACAAAACAUCUUUUUUUUCCUUUUUUUCCUCUAAUGUUUUGCAUAUUCAAGAGGCUAGAAAAGUUUUCCUUCACAUGUCGAUAACAAUAUGCAUGAUUUUAUGUCCCGAACAACUUGAAAACACUAUGCAAGAUUCCCUAAUGUCUAUUUGAUAUAAUAACUACUUCUUUACCAUCUAGGACUCCCUUUAAUUUCUCCAAGAACCAAUACUAGUCCUCAUAAUUUUCUAAAUUGACCACACCAAGGUCUAGAGGGAACAUUCCAUCGUUUGCAUCAUAUGCAAUGGCGGACAAAGGAGCUCUCUUAUAUGAACCGCUUAGGUGGUAAGAAUCAAUAGCCAAUACCGGUCGACACCCCAUGAUGAACCCUUGAAUUGAAAAUGUAUGGGCAAUGAACAAUUGCAUGAAGUGAUUCAUGGGAAAUGUACUCUGCAAUAGUGUUAGGGUUUAUUCCCCUUAGUCUAUGGCAUAACCGAGGCAAAAACGUGUAGGACUCACGUAGAGCUCCAUAUAUGCGCUCUUUUGCCUUCUCUUUAAGGUGUCAUGCUUGGUUAUAUGUCAAUUGAACUCCAUGAUCACUUUCAAAAUCCUUGCAACUUUGACAACAAGAUAUUCUGGAGUGGUUUUAAACACAUCUUCAACAACAACAACGCCUCUCUUUGAAGAAACCCUUACCUUAGAUGAACACUCGUCUUGAGCUAUAUGAUUAUGAUUCACUUGGUAAGUAUGAACUCACAAGAUUACAUUUCCCUCUACAGCGUAUCUUCUAAGGACAAUCCUCAACCAAACACUUUACGAACAUAUGCGUAGGUGAAUUUUUCUUGUACUUGUAUUCAAACCUCCCACCUAAUGACAUCUGGUAUAUUGCAUUCUAAAACUCCUCAGCAUUUUUAAAUGUAUGUCCUGACCCUAAUAUUGCCUCAUGAAAUUGAUUCGAUUCCAAAUGAGCGUACUCACUAUCUACACCACGCGAUGCAAAACCUCUUGGUAGCAUCAUAGUAUUAGCAAUUGCAUCGCAUGAUGCAUUAGAGGAAGGAAACGUGAGAGGUGAACCUCUGCAUUUACAUACAUUAACAAAAUUAGACUACAUCAUGUGUAAAAUUGAUAUUCACAAUAUUUUAAAUAGACAUUCAUGUUAAAGUCCAUUACCCAAAUGUCAACUGUGUGUUCGGUAUAUUUGCCUCAAUGGCUUCCACAUUGGGUGACUACUAUGUAUACAUUUAUAAAGUCAUCAUUGUGGGAAACCACGUUAUCCAAGUCAUCCUCAUAUUCUAAAUCUUGAAUGACUUUGGAGUUGAACUUGAGGGUGUAGUGCAUCUUCAUCACAUCAAGUGAGAUGUCGAAUUUCUCUAAGAUUUUUUGAAUGAAAUCUUCAAAUGACAUUCCUUUAUAUAUGUGAAUACCUUUGCUUAUUCCACCCACGUAUUCCCAUUGCCCAUCAUUUUUUUGGACAAGUUUGCCUCCCACAAAAAUUUAACAAUAUAUCUUAUUUGUUGCGUCUAUCAACCUAUUAAAACAAAGCACAAAUUUCAUAUUGUUGAACAAACAAUUAUGCAUAUUCAAUGUCAUCCAAAAAGUUUUUUCGUCUCACAAGAGGUAUUGUUCCCAUACGAAUUACUACCACCAACAUUUUAUCACCAAGAUCUAUUGUUCAAACAAAGUGUGAGACCUAUUUUUUCAUUCGUUUAACUUGAAGCCAACAACAAGUAAUUAAGAAGAAGCACGUGAAAUGGAAGGUAGAAAGGGAAAUGACGCAGUGAAGUGGGGAUGCUACUGGUAAUCAUGAUACCUUAAUUUUGAAUAAUGCAUUAAAAAAUUUAUAUUAAAAACAACAAUUUAUAUAUGCAAAAAUUUAACUUUAGCUUAUGUCUUAAGAAAUCAUUAUUUUAGUGAUGAGAAAUUUUAAACUAUUUAAAAUUUUAUAAUAACUUAAUUUUGCCCACAAAAAAUUUAUAUAUCAAUCUUAAAGAGUUUUUGCAUCUUUUAUAAAAAUUCCUACUAUGCUUUGAUUUAUGAUUUUAAACACAAAAAAUAGCUAAUAAAUAUAUCCAAACAAACCCCAAGUAAUCACCAUUUAUUUAUAUCAACCAUAAAUUAUGAAAGUCAGGAAAAAUGCAUGUCUUUACUUUAUUUCUUGUGGAAUUGCACAUAGUUUCAAAAAAUUGGGGAAAUAAACAAUACAGUGAGGUUUGAACUUAUGACUUCCUGACAACUUGGCCCUUGAUACAAAGUUAAGCUAUAACGUUGAUUCAAAAGUUUGUAGAUGUUAGGUAAUGAUGGGACAAUAAUGCACAUCAAGCUGAUUUGAGCCAAUUUCAUAGCUUAAAAUGCUAUUAGAGCCUUAGUUGUUAGGAGGUCAUGAGUUCGAACCUCAACAUGUUUUUCUAAUAUGCUAACCUCCCCAAUUCUGCAUUUCAUGUUGUUUUCACCUCAAAGGAAUCUAAACAAAGCAUUUCCAAUGACCCAUUCCUACAACCAAACAAUGUUGCUAGGUUUUGUACCCCCUCCUUCCACAUCCCAAACAAGCAACUGCUCAAUCUUCUUUACAUUGAUCAUAGUAGUGAUAGAAAAUGUUAAGAGAUAGACAACCUCUUAGAGAAAUAGACUUUUAUCAAAAGCAAGGAAUCUUAUGUUAGUGAGAGCUCUAUUUGAAAUGUUUCUAUCUCUUGCAUCCAUCCCAAUUUCAUUGACUUGUAUUCAUAAAUGAUUUGAUGGAUGGAAGGACAAGAAGUUAAAGUUUUGAAUGAGAGCAUGGACACUAGAUAUAUUAAUGUGAUAAAGAACUGAUACAUUGAAAAACAUGAUUAUUGAAAGAGGGAUAGGCAAAUCAAUUCCAAAUCAUGGUUAUGUUAAGGUUCACAUUAGAUACUUAUUUUUUUCCUUAUGUGGUCUUUAAAUCGUUUGGAUUUUAUUUAAGUUAUAAUUAUGAAAAUGAGCCUUUCAAUCUAGGGAUUUAAAAUUAAACAAAAUUUAUAUUUUAUAAAAUAUAACUUCACUAACUAUAGUAGAAUUGUCUCGUGUACUUGCAAUGUUUUUUGAUUGGCAUCUUUUAUAUAUUAGUGUUUGCCUAUCCAAAAAAAAAAAAACCUAGAGUAGAAUUUUAAAAUAUUGACAAGAGUAGAAGUGGAAGAAUUGUAAGAAUUGAUGCCCAAAUGCAUAUUUGGUUCUCUUUGAAUUGAUCACUGAUAUAUGGAGAAUCAAGUAAACAUUAGCUCCAAGAUUAGAAUAGGAAAGUUGUUGUAGGGAAAUGGUUUGGGGUUGUUAAGUUAACAUUAAAAGGCAAUUUUGCUAGAUAAAGGCCUUAUACUAAUGAUGCUUGCCCAUAUCAAAUAAGCAUGUUGAAAUGGAGAUGUUAAGAUGGAUAAAUGACUAGAAAAUGAAUAUGUUAGUUGAAACCUAGACGCAGGCAUCUAUUCAGGACAAGACGGAAUAAGACCAAAUGACCCUAAAUUUAGACAGGACAUGACCCUCAAUCUAGCUUGAUGGAUAAACAUAAUUUGUGUAGUAGAACAAUUAUAAUUGAUAGAUAAACACUUGCUGGAGUUCAGUGCCUAACUUUUCAUUACAACUUUAUUUUCAUAUUCACAUGUUUCUCUUUAAAAUUUGUUCGAAGUUUGUUUCAGUUUGCACUAUUCUAUUUAAUUUAAUGAAGAAAUGCCAAUUAUGCCAAUUAAAUUUGUUGUGUGUUGUGCAGUUACAAAUUGGUGUUGAUGAGUCAUAUAAGCUAUCUAUUCCUUCACAUGGGACACUUGUUUAUGCUCAUAUUCAGGUAAGUGUGAGCUAAUGUUGAUUAAAUCUGAUCCCAUGACCCUAGUUCCCAAGGCUGAAGGGUAACAUGGUUAUAUUUAUAAAAAAAAAAAAAUAUCAGCACAUUGUAUUUCUUAGUGCCAUCAUAGAAUUCCAUUUAGAUACUCACUGUAUUCAUGUGCAUGAAUAGUUUCAAUUUAUGUCAUGAGGAGAACGAUUCGUAACCACUCAUAAAAGGCAAAUAACAACUAAGUCUGAUUAUCUUGGAAUAGAAAACGGGGCAGACUAGAGAGUAUCACCAAUAAAACAGGGUACAGAUGAAUACUACUAUCCAAAAAUUAAGUAGGGAUGGUGCAUAAUUUUGAAACAUUCCAUCCCCAGAAUUUGGUUCACCCAUCCAAAAAAAUCCAUUAGUGUAAAAAAGAGAAAAGCCAAGCACCUAAAAUUCACAAGUCACCUAUGUAUCUCAGCAUCAAAAACACUAUAAUAAAUAAGAACUAUUUCCGUUUAUAGAUAGGUUUGCAAAAAAUAUUAAUAGCACCCUAAAUUGACUUCGUAAACUGUAGGUUAACAGAAAACAAGAAUCCAUCUCCUCCUACCAACGAUAAUUAAACAAAAUGUAGGAUUAAACAAAUCUAGGGCGAGAUUUAGAGAACCUACUAACCUCAAAUAUCCAACAAUGGUUAGCACGGAGGGCACCAUCGGUGGGGAUCGACGAGGAAACGAUAAAUGGCAAACUGAAAUCAGGAGAGAGAUUAGGGCAAUGUAAUUGGGUUGAAAUCAAAUGGUCUGAAGAGCCAAAAUGAAGUAUAAAACGAAAUUGCAAAACCUAUUAACCUCAACUAUCCAACUAUUCGGCGCGGAGGGCAAUGCUCGUGGGGAUCAACAAGGGCAAUGUAUCAACAGAGAUGAAAAACACCACUGUCUACACCCCGAAAUGAAAUGGUCAGGAGAGACGAAAUCGAGAGAUAAGGAAAUCGCCAUAGAGAUUAGGGCAUUCUUUGGCCUCAAAUGAAAUGGAAGCGAAAGAGAAAAUCGGGAAAGAUGAAAAACGCCACUAUUUGAAAUGAAAUGUAGAGUAAAAUUAGGGCAACAUAAAUGAAAUUCCAAUGUGGGUUUUUUUUUUAAUAGCUAGCAAAGGGCAUUUUUGGAAAAUUAAACAUUUCAUAUCCUUCUUCUCAAUUUUCACACUUUCUUUGAGUGUUAGGCUUUAAUAUGCAACUUAUAUGGACUAAAGCUUAAUUUUUGGGCCCUGUUGGGCCAAAAACACAAUUUUCCCAAAAAGAAAAGGAAGAAAAUAAAGAAAAGAAAGAAAUAAAAAAAUAAAAUAUAAUAAUAAUAAUAGUAACAACCAAUGUUUUCAGAUCCGGACCAGUCAUCGAAUCGGAAAAGUUAUCGAUUCACGGUUCACUAGUUGGAUCUGUGGUCGAACCACGAUCGAACCGGUGAUGUCAUAAAUAUGUAAUUUAUAUAUUAUUAAAAUUAAAAAUAAUUAUAAAAAAAUUAAAAUAUAUAUGAAUAAAUUAAAAAUCAAUAAUAUUAUUUUAUAUCUUUGAUAUUAUCAAAUUAAAUCAUAUUAAUAUUUUAAAUUUUAUUAAAUGAAAUAUGUAUAAUAUUUACAUGUGAAUAUAUUAAAAAUGAAAAUUUCAACUAAUUUUAUAAUUUUUAAAAAUAUUACAUAAUUUUUAUUUAAUAUUAUAAAAAACGUUAAAAUCUAAUAUAUAUAUAUAUAUUGUUUUGUUUGGCAUAUUAGAUAACAAAAUGCAUGCAAUCGAGUGGUGUCCUAGGCUGAUAGUAGAACCUGAGGUCCAAGGUUCAAGCCCUCUUGGCUAGUUAACAAUCCCACAUGAGAGGAAAUGGGAUGCAAAGGAUGCCUAUAAAAACCAUCCUCACUUAAGGCAAAGGCAUCACCUGGGCUCAAGGCUCAACCUAUAAAAUUGUGGGAGUAGGUGUGGGCCUUGUCAUUAGCCCAAAACAUUUAAACCCAAUGGAACCCUUCCAUGUUUGCAAAAUAAAGGGGUUAACUUGAACUGUUCGGUUCGUUUAGAACCGUCUAGUCUAGUUCCAUCGGGUCACCGGUCCGACCGUUGGUUUAGGCGGUUCGAUGCCGGUCUAAUACCUAAACGGUUGAAUCUGUUGGACUGGACCUGGAUCGGCCGGUUCGGUCUGGUCUGGUUUUUAAAACAUUGGUAACAACAGUAAUAGUAAUAAAAAGGAUUUUAAAACUAAUGAUAAAAUGGGACUCAAAAUCAACAUAAAAAUGAAAUUGGGACAAAUUUUGGGGUCUACAAUAAUAUUUUUAUUUAUAAAAAUUUUAUUUUUUUAAUAAAAAAAUUAGAAGGCAACAUAGUUUUUUUAAAAAAAAACAAAUAUCAAAUAUUGAAAUAUAAUAUGUUUUCUACUUUAUUUAUUUUCUUACUUAUACAAACCAACCAUAGAUAAGUAAAAUAUAUCCUUUAGGCAUAAAGAUAUGCAUAUUUUUGUUGAAAAUAUAUCCAUCAUAUCUUAUCAUGAUAACUAAACAUACACUAAAUCUCCAUUCACAAUAAAGAGAGCUCGCUAACUACCAAAGUCAAUUUUGAUGAUGUGAAUUUAGGCUUUUUAACAUUGAGGCCUUUCAUAAUUUAUAAAGUAUCAAAAGAACGUCAUGUACCCUUAAACUAACUCAUGAAAGGCACAUCUUAUACCCUUUUAUUUCAAAACAAUGAUUGAAUUCUACUCAUCACCAUGUAAAAAGCAAAAAUAUUAAUUCGAAUAUUGUAAAAAAAAAAAAAAAACUAGUAUAAGUUUCAUAGAAUAUACAAAAGAUGGAAUCCUUAUAUUAUAAAAUUCUAUCUAGUAAAUAUUCGAACUUAAAAAGGAAAAUACUUCUCCAAUUAUGUGAAAGUGUCAUACACAGUGAAAAGGAUACACCAACCAUAUUUAAUUUAUCACAAACCUAUCACCCACUAAGAUUAUCAACUUCUUAUCAUUCUUGCUUUUUUAGGGAUUCUAUCAAGAACAGUUGGCAACAAAAAGCAUUAGAACUUAUUUAAAUAAGGAUCAAGUGAAAAGUACAUAAAAUCCAAAUCCAAUAUUAUAUGAGUGGCCAUUUACCUUUAUUCACAUUCCCAAAAGCUUAACCCUCCAAUUCAUUCCUUCAAAAACAAUUGUGAUUUAGUAGAGGAUAUGGGCAUUGUGGUUAGUGACUCAACCAAGUAUCCAACUUGGGCCUCACAAAUCUUCCAUACCUAGUGGAUGGGAAAGAAUCCAAGGGCCCUCAACCCCAAUCUUGUCCAUGGAAAAUGAUUACAUGCAUGCUUGACAAGAGUGGGAAAAGGGCCAUAGGCCCAUGGCAUCAAUUCAAGGAGGCAGGUGUUCAUAUCGGUUGGAAGUUUAGAUUGUUUUUCAUUUCAAUAGAUGACAAAAAAAAAAAGAAAAAAAAAUACCAAGGCCCUGACCUAACAAUACGAAAACUUUUGAAGGUUCUACAACCAUGAAAUUUGUUGCUUUAGUGAGAAAAAUUCUAAGAUAGAAUUAAAUUCGGGCCGAAGGUUGAAACGAUUUCGAAUUGAAUGAAACUUUUUGAUAAUCUUACGAUGAACACACAAAUAAGGGGUGUGAAAUUUGUUUGGGUUUUGAUUCCAUGGACCUUGUAUCAUUAGGCGGAAGCAUGUUCCCAUUUGCCUUCAUCCACAAUGCCAAGACCAUUUUCCCACGAGCCACGGCUCUUACCUUCCUUGGAAUUUCCAUUUUGGCGGUGCUUUCCUACAAUCAAACAUAGGAAGUAGUGAAUUUCUUUUUGCCAAUGGAAAUUUCUUAGGAAAUUCAAAUUCCCAUGCCAUGUCCCAUGGAGCGGGGUGGGUGUCUCCUACUUUCCACCCACCUGCGCUUUUCCCAAAAGCUGCUUUUACAACUUUUACCUACAUUCGAUUCUUAAAAAAUAUAAGAGAAAAAGUGAAUAAAAAAAAAAAUGAAAGCUUUCUGAAUACAAAAAAUAAACAAUUUAAAAAUGUAUAAAUUUUAAUUAUAUUUUAAAUAUAAAAAAAAUCAACCUUUUUACCAUAUUUUUUCUGUUUUUAAUAUUUUUUUCAUCAAGCAUUAUGUUAAGAUAUUAAAUUUAAAAUCAAUGAAUUGGACUUAAGUUUAUAAAUACUAAAUAUUAAUUUUUAUAAUUUAAAACGUACUUGACACUUUGACAGUGAUUUUUUAAACAUUUUAAAUAUUUGAUAAUUAUUAUUUUUUAAAUAUUAAAAAUACUUUUUAAAAUAGCUGUCAACCAUAUUUUUAAGUCAAUGUACAAAACACAAACAAAAUAUCAGUAGCAUGUAGAAUGGAAGGGAGGGGACAGAGCUUCUUCUUAUCCAUAACCUGUUGGUUUGCAAGACCCUGACAAAUACAAAUCUCGUAUUUGGAUUAAAUGAUAAAAAAAAAAUUAAAAAAAAAAAUCAAUCCACAAUGUGUUGAUAUUUUGAUUAAAAGUUGUCGUCAACUGCCCAUGAAUCCAUGAUUAAUGGGGAAUGGUGGCCAUACGUCAAUGGUGUGGGCUGGGCCCCACCCACCACACCAACUCACCAGGCCUCUCCUGGCCCUCCUAGGCUAGCACGUGCCUCAAUUUUGGACCAGGUCACGCUUUCCAAAUUCAUCCUACUUUCCCCAUUAAUUUAUAAUUGUAUCCAUUCCCUAGUCUUUGGUUUUCCUUUACAAAAAUGUGAGCAGGUGGUUGGCCAAUGGUUUUUAUCAUUUUCUUGACUUGCACUUAUACUUGAUUUUAAAGUUUUAAAUUUUUCUUUAUUUAAAAAUAAUGAAUUUUCAGACUAAAUUCUGAAAAAAAAAAUCGUUUUCAAUUAAACCAAAAAAAUUAAAAAUUAAAAAAAAAAAUUUCAAAUAAGUUGUAAGGUCUACCGUGUGUAAACUUGAGAUUGAGCAGCUCAUGUAAAGUGAACGAGCCUUCCAUCGAUGACCGUAUUGGUAGUCGCUGUGACGUCAUCUGCCUCAUCACACACAAAUAUGAAAAGCACAUCACCCCACUCCACAAUCCACAUACAUACGCCUCGCGCACGAAAAUAUAUCCAGACAAAAAAAGAAAAAGAAAAACGAAAAGGAAAAAGAAAAGAAAAACAACAACAUUUCUGAAAAGAAGACAAAACCCAUGUCACGGCAUAAUGGAUUAAUGAUAUGGGUGAUAGUGGGAGGCGGCUGUUGGUGUGGGCUAUGUAGGGUGGUGGUGGUGGUGGAGGUGGUGGCCACUGCCAUUGGCCAUGUGAUGGGAUUUAGUUGAAUUGUGAUCGGUUUGGUUACCAACCAUUGGGCCUACCAAAUCCCUCCCCAGUCUCCUCCCAAGAGCCAUUCCCCGAGCCCUUCUUUGAUUUGGAUUCACACAUUUGCAGCCGCCAAGGUGGGCCCUGCCUUUAUUAUUAUUAGCCAGUGUCACCAUGACUUUGUGAAAUUUCAAAGUCUAUCCUCCCCUUCUCACGUUCUUCAAUCUUCGACUUGUCUACCCUCUUUUGAGGAAACAGAAAAAAUUCAUGUAUUGGUAUGGGGUACCUUAAUUUAAAAAAUAAUACGGAAUAUAAAUGAUAAAUCAAGAGUCAAAAAAGGGGCAGUCUCAUCUUGUGAAUCCUAGAAUAUAAAAAGAAUGGAAAAGCUUCCCAAUAAACAACCAUUCCAUGUUUAAAGGAAUCUUGUAAUUAAAGUUAAAAAAAAAAAUUAAAAAAAAACCAUUUCUAAGUUGUAAGUUUCUAACUCGGACAUAGGACUAGGACAUGACCUUUUUAAAAUAUAAAUACAUUUACAAUUUAAAACAAGAAAAACAUUUUGUCAUUUUCAAAAGCAAUGGAAGAAAAUUUUAUAUUUUAUAUUUAAUUAAACAAUUAAUUUCAAAUUUUUUAUUUGAUCUUAAACCUUAAAUUUAUCACCAAAAAAAAAAACAAUAUUUACAUGAAAUUCAAUUUUAUUAUUCAUAUCGUAACAAUUUAAAUUUUAUUGAAUUUUACACACUUUUGACAGAUGUAGACGACCGACGCCAUACACGCACUCAAUUUUGUAUACAAGAAUGUUAAUGUUGAAUAUCUCUGAAUAUCUUCCAUGAGAGGGACCCGGACCCAACUUGGAAGGUGAGACGAUAGGUGAAGGUGGAGCCCAGUUAUUUGGACCAAAGCCAACCGCAUGGAUUGAGAGGGGGCAGGCCCUCAAUUCUCAACAUGUGUCCCGUCCAGUGUCCACCUCCUCACUAGUCACUACACUACCCUCUGCCACAGGGUGCAUGCGAUACAUGGAUUGCAUCAUAGUUUAUUUCUAUAUGUAUUGAAAUAAAAAUCUUCUCAUUUUUCAACGCCUGGCGUGCUUUACAAGAAACGCUCACAUCCCUCCACUCACCAUUAGGCAUUAAGCCCACCUUACCUUAAAAAUCUAGUAGACUCUCAUCAUCCACUUAAGCUACAAUUACAACACCACUAAAUUACAAAUACAAGAAUCAAGAAUAAGUAUUAGACCGAACAAAAUCGCCUUUCUGUCAUUUUACAAUUAUAACCCUCCCACCCUGCACUCGCCUUCAUCACUCUUGUUGGAAUGGAGGAGGGGUAGAGAGGUCUCAAACACUAAGAAAUCGUCGGGGUCAAACUCCCCGAAUUCGUCCUCCUCUAAGUGCUUAUUUGAAAAUAUGUCCGGCAAAGUUAACGGCACGUCGAAAUCAAACCCGAAGGCGUCGACGUCGCAGUACCCGAAUCCGUUGAAAGGCGCUUCCUCGUUGUAACGGAGGACUGAGGUGGGCGAGGAGGCGGUGACGCUGGGUAAACUGCAGGUCUCUGAUUGACUUUGACCAGCAGUAGCAACGGAUUCCGUUUUGACGACGGAGGGAAAGUUGGUAACGGCGUUGGGGCCUUUUAAACUGACGGCGGCCUUGUCGUAUACCCUGGCCGCUUCCUCCGGCGUGUCGUACGUCCCCAACCACAACCUUUUCCGGCGGGUCGGGUCCCGGAUCUCCGCCGCCCACCUUCCCCAGGGCCUCUGACGCACGCCUCUGAAUUUUUUCCGGCGAGUGCUUUCCGACUCCGGCAGUCUCAACACUCUCUUCUUGGUCGGCUCCUUUUGUGGCGACUCCACUGAAGGUUGGAGGCUGAUCUCUGUGACGUGUCGCUUCACUCUCUGCACCAAUUCCACUUCAUCGUCACUGGAUGAGUCUGUAGCGUCGCCGUCGGUAUGAAUAAUCCUCACAACUCUGUGCCGCACUCUCCUCCUCCCCGAAAGACACUCAGAGGCGCUCACAGACUCCAGCUCCUGCAUAUGCUUACUUGUGGUGACCACAUGCUCGGAGAACUUCACCGCCGGUCGUAUCGGCAUCACAAAGUCACUGCCCAUACUCUUCCUGACGCAGCCUAACAUCGAAGCCGUCCAAGAUGACCUCAGAUCGGACGGAGGACUCUCAGUUUUCUUAGCUGCAUCAACCGAAGAUGAAUAAAGAAAAGAGUAGCUAUAAGAGUGAUGGGAAGAGGAAGUCAGCAGGUAUGUGAUGAAGUUAUAAGUCUGGAAGAGCAGUAGAAUUUGGCGGGAGGGUAGCGGCGUCGAGGGCGUGGAGGAGAGAGAUGAAAAGAGAGGAAACGGGAAUGCGAGGGUAUUUAUAGCGUGAGAUGAAGUGAUGAUGGGGGUGAAGAAGGGUGAAGAGCGGAGCGGGAAACGGAAUCACUCCCCCAUCUAGCUGGGGUUUUGACGUGGCUUAGUUUUUUUAUUCCUUCCAUCACGCCGAUUUUUCCAUUUUCCCACUAAAAUGGGGGAGUCAAAAUCAAAGUUACAGGCUUACAGCGGAGGGUAAACAGGGAGGCAGGACACGGACGGGGCCGCCGCCUCAUCAUUUGCCUAAAUGGAAUUAAAAACAUGUGAUACAAAUUGGCCUUAUCUCUAACUUUUGCCUUACAAUGUUUUUUUGGGGCCUCCUACAUAUCCAAUAAUGCCACGGUGCCACCACACCGCUACUCCCACUGCAUCCACUUGUGCGUGUACUCGAGUUUUUACUGUAUCAGAUGUUGUAAUUCAAUGGAUCAGAUGUUAAGAGUGUUUCUUAAUCGAAUGAUUGAUGUCUACUUUUUUUCCUCGUAAUGGUCAAUUAAUGCCAUUUUACCUACUCAAUUUCUGAUUUUUUCUGUUACUAUUUUAAACACUCUCUUUCAUGGAGAGUUUGUAAAUGGGACCUCUUCUGGAUUUUCAAUCCACAACUUGAUUAUACAUUGCUUCCACUCAAAACUAUCAAAGAUAAUUGAAAAACCACUAGAUUAUAUUCUAACAUCGCAAGUCUAUUGAGGGUCUUAUGACUUAAAUCACUUCAUUUUUUAUUUUAUUUUAUUUUUCAAAAAAUAAAUAAAAUUUGAUCUUAUAUCACAUAUGUGUUGAGAUGAUUGUGAUGGGUGCCAUAACCAUAACCAUAACGUUUUCCUAGUAGUUUUCAAAGAUUGGUAAAAGGGGUUAUGGGCAGGGUGAGUGGGUAUUAGGGUUUAUAGCUCAAAAUAGCAUGCAGUGCCAAAAAUGAGACCACCCAUUUCGACUCUUAAGUCUUUAAGUCAAACCGACCUUCCAACCUCUCGACUCGGAUUUCACGACGGUGAUAAAGGCUUUGGUGUAUCACUUUUUCCAAUUUUUGCUUUCUGUUCUAUCCCUGUUUUUGUCUCUAAAGCAUGGUGAACCCGUAGCUAUAUUUUAUUACUUACAUCUGUAGGGGUUAGAAAAAAGUAAAAACCAAUUCUCAUGUGUGGCCAUAACAGCCUUAACAGGGGCAGACAAAUCACACAAUUGUUAUACCCCACAUUGACAAAUGGGGUUGGACUUAAAACUCCACCCUCCCUAAAUCGAUAAGAUUUGAGUCCAUGAUGUAAAUUUGUGGAAAUAAAGCCCCUCCACAUGUUUUCAUUGUCAAAAGUUGUGAUGUUACGCAUUAGAUAUAGAUAGAUGGAAGAGGACUUGAACCCAAGACCUCUAUUUACACCUUGUUGAAUGACCAAAUUUCACUAAAAUUGUUAAAAUUUGAACCCCUAACAUGUACCAGGUCCUAUGAAGUCCUCCCAUGCCUUGUGCAACUACCAGAGGUUUAAAAUUUAGAAUUUCUGUAGUUUAUACAUAUUCUAGGAACCACGGGUCAAGCCAAAGAUCUUCCCAAGGAUUUCACUUUUAAUGGUUGGGGACUACAUCAGAUAGGAAUAAGAAAGAAUAAAGAAAGCAAAUUAAAGGUAUUAUACGUAGAUGAAGAUUAAAUAAACCUCUACAAAUGUUGAAAAAGCAUAUGUGAGGUUGGUUUAGGCUUGGAGAAGAAGCAAAGGAAAGGGAACACACCCCAUGAAUCAGCAUGUGAGCAAUGAUGUAUGGAGAUUGGCCCUUCAUUGCUUGUCAACCAAGCAUGAGUUGGUAUAAAAAAAUAUGUCUAGUUUUAAAACUUUGUAGAAAGAGAAAGUGGGUCAUUUCAAAGACUUCCAGAAGGUUAUUAACUUCUGAAAAUCCUUCAACGUUUUCCCUGAAAUCAUAUCAGAGACCAAAGGAUUUGUAACCAGUCAAAAGACUCGAAACCUACUCUUGUUGGACUAUAGCCAAUUAGCAAUGGCCUUUUCUGUAUUUAAGGAAAAGCUUUAUUCCACCAAAAAAAAGUCGACAAUAGAGUUUUCCCAUUGGCAACCAAGAGUUGUUCUUAUCUAAAUUUUCAACAGCAUCCACACAUGCAGAAGGUCCCAUGUCACAACAAGGUUGAACCCUUCCUUGUUGCUACAGUUUUUUUGUCUUUUUUUUUUCCCUCGAGUCUUCUGGGGCUGAGGCUGAGGCAGUUGAAAACUACAGGUCACUAAAAUUUGUGGAAGUUUGAAGAUUCAAACCUCAUCCAUCAGAUUGAGAUAGAUAUAGGGAAUCUAGGAUUAAGCUAUUGGCCAAAACAUAGGAUUUGAUCAUACAACCGCUUUCAGGGUUGUGUUGAAUUUUCAUACUCCAUUUCAUUUUCUUUUCCUUUUUUUUUUUUUGGUUGGGGUGGGGGGUUGGGGAUUUGUUAUACAGGGUAUAUUGAAGUCUUUGUUUCUCAAGGUAGUUCUAUCAUGGGGGGCUAGAAGGUGUUGAGCCCUUUCACUCAAAACUACUAAGUAUUCAGCAAAGAGUAACAUGGAAGAUAGAUUGGUAUGGAGGGAAUCACAGGUUUGUUAGUUCAAACCUUUUAUUCUUGAUUGGAGCCAAAAAGAAAAGGGACUUUUCUAGUAAAUGUACUUAAGACCCCUUUGGUGCUGAUAAAUGUAGAAUUAUUUGCUUAGGAAACACUUUGGGUUAGAAUUUUUAGAUCGAUUAAAAAGAAGGGAAUAGACUUUGGCAAAUGGACGUGAUAUUGCAAAGAUGAGGACGAAUCAACUAACCAUGCCGAUGAGGAAGAAUCAACUAACCAUGCCCCUUUUUCAUCUUUGCUAAGAUGAGGAUAUUGUGGUACUUGUUAUUCUUAUAGUUUAUCGUCAAAUGGGUGUAGCCAUCUAUGGCCAGACAGACUUCAAUCAAGUUGGCAGGACCUUUGUGGGGAAGAAGUGUUGGAAGGUGUGAAAGACUGCACGUUUGUGUUUAUUCAAGACCAUUUGAAACGAUAAGAAUAAAAAAGCAUUCUUGUGCUCUCUUUAGCUUUGGGCUAGGAGGUCUUUAGAUGGAGCCUCUAUCAUUCUAUGUCCAUUUUAGAAUUUUUUAAUUGAUUGGACACUUGUUUUAUUAUAAGAGCGGGUGCUUUUUGUUACUCUUUUCCUACUCAUUGCCGUUUUGGCACCUUUGGAUACCUCCAUGUACCAUGGUGUACCCAUACACCCUUUUUCCUUAACACUGGCAUUACCAUUCUUAUUUGCUUAUCAAAAAGCUAAAAAAAGAACAUCCUAUUUUUAGCAUUAAUAAGGAGAAAAUGUGAAGCUUCUAGCCUAG